rnacentral:lncRNA from 1 species
UUUUUUUUUCUUUUUUGUUCAGGAAUCAGGAUCCUGACAGGCAUUGAGUACGUACGGUACGUCUGCGAAAAAGAGGAAGAUGCUGAAGUACAGGUACCUCUGUCGAAGCCGGUGGAUCUUUGGUCCCUGCUGAAAGGGCUACCUUGAGUGAAUGCUGACCCAUCACAAGUUCACAACAGAGCUUCCUGAUUGUGCUGGAAUGGUGGUUGCAAUAAAAAACCAUUUCAGUUCCAGUUCUAAAAACGUGCAAAUUGCACUAAAAAUUUUCCGUCCAAGGUUUCCGUGGAUAAAACAGGAGGUGGGUUCGCAUGGUUGACCUGCAUGCUCAUUGAUCAGCUCCCCCUAGUUGGUCAGCAAAUUGUGCUGAUUGAUCAAUCAAUUGUGUCAAAGAAAAAUAUAUGAAAGAAUGACAAAAUAAACCAGGCUGAACUCUAGGACUGACAACAUGGCAAAUGUGUUGUCUAAGACCAUUCAUUGUUCAGUCCGUGCACCUACCACGAAACUCGUAUUCGAACACAAAAGCUUCCAGAGUUAACAUUAUAGUUUUAGCAAAGAAUCUAUACAGAGCAUCGCAUCAGCCAAAUCACCAACUUCUAUCCAUGCUUAGAAUACACACAUGGCCAACUCGGCCGGCUCGCGCGAGAGUGGCGCAGCUUAGCUCAGCUUACCGCAAAUCCUGUGGCGGUGUGGCUGGAAGCUUUACAAUUUUCCGAUCCAGCCAGGGUGUAGGAGUAGGACCUUCUUCAAAUAUAAAUUGUGCAGGGCAUGCUAAACGCUGUCCCCACCCGCAACACGAACAGUGCUAGUCCUCAUGGUGAGCGGCAUAUCAAUUGAAAUCCUUGGCCAUCAGGUUCUUCUUGUAAAGGCAUCUUUGAUGCUAAACAUAACUUCUUUCCUUUUUCUAACGGCUUCUUUGGCCGUCAGUGAUGUUCUUUUUUUUUCCUUUUCCUUUUGCUCUGUGUCGAUGGCAAGGAGCAAUGACAAAUUCAAGCUCUCUAAGUAUAAUGUCAUUGUCAUUAGUCGUGAUCCAAGUGCUAAAAUUUGGAAUAAUAAGCUUUACUGUGCAAGACUCCGCCUAGCAAUCUGGUUGUAGUUAAAGUCCCUAAAGCUACUCGAAAACCUUCCUAGCUUCGUUUUACAUUAAGAUCAGAAAGAUGCCGCUGAGCUAAAAUAAGGUACCAUCAAAAUCCAAGAAGGAAUAUUAGCAGCCCAAUCAAGGGCAUCCUAGAUCAAGAUUAAAUCGUAGUACGCACAUAAGAAAAUCAAUGAAAUAAUAGCUCACUUAAAUACUGUCCUAAAUGGUUGUUAGAAUUGAGUCAAUAUUUUUUUUCGGGAAUUUUCUUAUAUGCCACUAUGAAAAUCAUCCCUCAUAUGACAUAAAUGUACCUAUGACACAUAGGACCCUCAACAUUCACCGACAACUGGCACGUGAUGAAUUUUGUUUUCUUUUUCCCAAAGUAGAUUUCGGAUACAGAUAUGAAGUUGUGCCCACUGAAAGGUGACUUAUCUUUUAGUCCACAUUAGGAUCACAUGGAAUUUUCUCAACUAUUCUAAGAGGCGAAGUAAUACCUGAAAUUUCGUACCGCGUUGCAAUAAAUUUCUUCCUUACAAACAUGUCCUUUGUAUGUUUAUUGUUGCAAAGCAUCUAUAAUGUCAUUGAAAGGGACACCUAACAGCAUGAUACAUUGUAGCUGGGGGACCUCUAGCAUAACACCUGCAAAAGACAGGGCAUAAAAUUGACAUUUGAAAGACAAAAAAAAAAAACAGAAUAGAAAAUGUGCAACAUGCUCUCUCCUGCCAGCUCCUCCAGUAGACUAUCAGUAGUAAAUCCUGACUGUAUUCCUUUUUUUCUUAUUAAAGAAAAUCCUACUCCACCUCACAGAUACCUUCUUCACUUGAAUUAUUAUUCCCCUCUCUGGACUCUGCUGUCUUCCUCUUCCACCUCUCCAUGCAUGCAGAGGAGCAGCGCCCUCAUUACUUCCCAUUACUCUCCCUCCAUUCCUCUUCUCUGUCCUCCUGACUCCUGGUCUUGAUCCUCUCUCCUGUCACCCUCAACUUUGCCAAAGCGCUCGGUACAUCCCCAGUACUGCAACCGAUCCAUCGAAGCAACCAUUCUCGUGCAAUCCUCCCUCUCCGUUCGUCGGUUUGCCCCCAAGGAUCGAUCCCCGUCACGCCGGCCGCCCACCGCCACCAGCCACACCAUCGCUGGUCUCCUCUCACCAGAAUCCAAAAUUCUCAUCACACCAAACUUUCCACUCCUCACUUUUCCCCCAAGCAAAUCCAAUCUUUACAACCGCAUUGCCUCCAACAACUGCCUCCUGACCUUCCUCUCGCACCCGAUUACCCACUCAAAUCCAAUCCGCUGCGCCCAAAGUCGUGGCAUUCGCGACUGUUUCAUCCUUAACGCCCGAUUCUGCUCUAAAUCCGCCGUACGCGGUCCACUUCAGUCCAGAAAAUCCGAGCUCGAUGCUGUUUGCGCGGUGGAGCCCAAUCUUUGAAGCCUAAUUACGGUCAAGAGCACCAGGAGAUCGGGCAAUUCGCAAGAAGCUGUAGGGCGGCGCCCUGGCUUCUCGCGCUCCGCCGGGUCCCAUGUCGGACUCGGAGCUGUCCCAGAGCACGGUGGUGUUCGGGCUCCGCAUGUGGGUGCUCGUCGGCAUCGGCGUCGGCGCCGCCUUCGUGCUCCUGCUCGUCCUCAUCUCCGUCCUCUGCCUCCUCGCCUUCCGCCGCCGCCGGCGGCAGCGGCCGGCCAACGCCGCCCAGCAGCUCCCCACCACGGCCCCUCCCAAGGAUUCCGCGAAUGUCAAGGCGCCCAAGGACAUCCAAGAAGUCCCCUCCCACGUCACCGCCACCGCCGCCGCCCCGGCGAAGACGCAGCUCGCGCAGGUGCUCCAGCUCCCCACGCCACAGGUCUCCGAGCAGAUCGUGACAGGCAAGGAACGCCGCAUCACGUACCCGGAGCAGCAGCAGCACCCCAGCCACCGGAGCGAGGGGCCUUCGCCGCACGGCAGCGACGAGAGACGAGGGGGGCGAGGUGGCGCUGCGGACCACGCGCCACCGGCGGUGCCGGAGGUGUCCCACCUCGGGUGGGGCCACUGGUACACGCUCAAGGAGCUGGAGACGGCGACCGGGAUGUUCUCCGACGAGAACGUGAUCGGCGAGGGCGGGUAUGGGAUCGUGUACCAUGGAGUGCUCGAGAACGGCACGCAGGUGGCGGUCAAGAACUUGCUCAACAACAGGUAUCGGACCACCUACCAAUAGCGAUCAACUUCAUGGACUGAAAAUUUGCGUUCACUUGGCAUUGCUAUCUGACCACCUGACAUUGUGUUGAUUGCCACGGCUGCGAAUAGUUAGCUCGCUGAUUUUGAGUUUAGUGGUCACAUUCAGCAAAAGGAUUGCAUUUCGUAUUCCAAAUUGAGAAGCUUGUCUCAGACAAUUCGCUUACAUUUUCUAGCUAGUAGCUACAGUUGGUUUUGACUUUUGAUAUGCAUAGUUCAGCAAGAGGGCUGAAUUCUGUAAAAUUUUUCCGUGCCUGAAUUUCUUCAUGUGCUUCUAAAAUUUAUACCCUUGAUUUGUUAGGGGUCAGGCAGAGAAGGAAUUCAAAGUUGAGGUCGAAGCGAUUGGGCGUGUGCGACACAAGAACCUUGUGCGCCUUCUAGGAUACUGUGCUGAGGGUAAUCAGAGGUAUUGUCUUGUGUGUGCACAUCACUUGCAUAGCUUGUUAUGUUGUAGUAUCAGUAAGUUUGGUGAUAUGAAUGUUGUUGAUGUGGAUCUUUUUAGGAUGCUUGUUUAUGAGUAUGUCGAUAAUGGGAACUUGGAACAGUGGCUGCACGGGGACGUUGGACCCGUAAGCCCUCUUACAUGGGAGAACAGGAUGAAGAUUAUACUGGGAACAGCAAAAGGGUGUGUGCCAUUCAGCUUAUUCUCGUUGAUUACUGAAUUUUACUAUGAUUCUGUACAGUUACCCUAAAUUUCUGCCAUUCUGUAGGUUGAUGUAUUUGCAUGAGGAACUUGAACCAAAAGUGGUUCACCGUGAUGUCAAGUCAAGCAACAUCCUUCUGGACAAGCACUGGAACGCUAAGCUCUCAGAUUUCGGACUCGCAAAGCUUCUUGGUUCAGAACGGAGUUAUGUUACUACACGAGUUAUGGGAACUUUCGGGUUAGCUUCUAUGCACUGCACUUUUAAGCUUUUAGCAGAGGCUGGGUCUGAUGGAUGGGUACUAAUUUUCUUUAAUAAUUACAGGUAUGUUGCUCCAGAGUACGCGGGGACUGGAAUGUUGAAUGAAACAAGCGAUAUAUAUAGUUUUGGAAUUCUCAUUAUGGAAAUAAUAUCUGGUAGGGUACCAGUGGAUUAUAACAGGCCACCAGGAGAGGUUAGUCAUGGCUGUGCCUCCAUAUAGCCAGUGCUGUUUUAUGAGCUUGUUUAAGUGCGUUAUAAAUCUUCAGAUCAUACUUUUCAGGUUAAUUUAGUUGAUUGGCUUAAGACAAUGGUAAGCAGCCGAAAUUCUGAUGGCGUUGUGGACCCAAAGAUCCCCAAGAAGCCUACUUCUAGGUCAGUGAAGAAGGCUUUGCUAGUGGCAUUGCGAUGUGUAGAUCCUGAUGCUAGUAAGAGGCCAAGGAUUGGGCAUGUCAUUCACAUGCUUGAGGUCGAUGAUUUCCCGUACAGAGAGGUAAGUUAAUAAAGUUAUUAUGUUCUAUAUUAUUUAAUUACAUCUCAGAAAUGUGAAUUGGGCUGUCAAUAUGUUGUCCAUCUCUUCCAGUAUCAUGUGUGAUAAAGUUACUUUUUGACCAUUUAUUCAUACCACCAGAGAAGCUGAGUUAGUCACUAUUAUUCUUUAGUUGCACCAUACAUGUGUCUUCUGCUUCAUUGCUAAGUAUACUUGCUCUGGUUUCUACUCUGAAUUAGGGAACAUCUUAACAAAUAUCUUCAAAAUUCUUUAUUCCAUUUGAAAUGGUCUUAUCUCCUCAAGGACCAUUUUGCCAUUUCCGAAUCACUUCAUUAGUUUGCUUUCUUGCAUUUGCAUUGGUUGAUGUAUCCAUCGCUGUUGGUUUCAGGAUCGCCGAGGCAACAGAGCACCAGGGCAAGCAAGAGCACCAGAGAAACCGGCAGUUGGAUCAGGUGACCAUGAGACCGACAGCAGUGCGAAUGGUGCCACACAAGCCGAACCCUUCAGAUGGAGAAACCCAGAUGCCUAGGUGUUGUCGCCUGUCGGAUUACUGAUUGAGGAAGUGAAAUCCUCAUGAUUUCUGAAGGAGAACAGUGCCCACUGAAAACUGGGUGCUGUACUGUUGUUUGUUCGGGUGCCCUCAUCCGUUCAGCACAUCAUCUGUACAUGUCAACAAUAUGAUUUAGCCCCUAGUAAAUUUUCCUGGUUAUAUUUAUAUAGGUAGAAGUAUCUAUGUAUGAUAAACCCGUGCCAUUUAAGUUGAAAAUGGGUUUUUGGCACCUCUGGUUAAGAAAUGGAUCAUGACUUUAGCUGAACUUGUGAUGCUGUAGUUUUAAAUGUUUCCAAGCCCAAACUGGAUGCCAAUGUGAAUAUGCGUUUAUUCAGACGACCCACUGAUGGGGACAAGUACGUAGUACUCCCUCUGUCCCAAAUUACUAUUCGUUUUGAUUUUUCUAGGUACAUAAAUUUGGGACGGAGGUAAAUAAUAAAGAACAACACAAAUAAAAAGAAUAAUAUGCUAGCAUGUUUUGAGCAACGAAACAAAACGGGUGUCGGCCUUUCUGAACUCUGAACUGAACACGCGAUCGAAGUCUGCAUAAUCAUGGCCCGCCUGGCAUGCUCGCGAGCUGCCAACGACCAAUUCCAAGCUCAGAUCUUACAGGAAGGCGACCACAUAACACGCACACCAAUCAGUACGCAGCUUGACCAAGAUGCAAUCCAACCACCACCGCAGGGAGAAUCCAAGACUAGAGACGGCCCAGAUGGGACAGGUGGCGUCCACGUCACCGCUCCAUCCCAUUCCAUAGCUGGUGCUCCUGGCUGUGCUGUGCCGACGUGCCACGGGCCCCGCGACGGGCGUGCCGUUCCUGCCGCGCUCGCGCUCGCCGUAGGGACGCGCCGCCGCUGACGCCUGACGGCUACCGCGGGCUGCAGAAGCAAGGAGCAGGCGUUCCCUGCGGCGGACUCGUGUUCCGACGGUGACCGCGGGCGAGCGACAGCGACGGUGACGUCGCAGCGGCUCGAUCGGCGUCGACGGGCCCGGCCCUUUAUUUUCCUUUUCACGUUUCGUUCCGCGCCAUCCUUUUGUCAGGCUCGUUCGUUCGUCCCGUCCCGUAUGCAUGCCUGCACGUACCUGUCUGUCUGCACGUCGAUCCUCGUAACCGUAAGCACACCAAGGUUAGGUAGAGAAAAAGCAGAAGAGCGAUCUAAGAUCUUACCUUUUUCCCAUUAGAACAACAGCAUGUUUCUGUUGGAACCUGAGAGCUAGAAUAGUAGUAGUAGAACAAAUCCUUGCCAAAGGCUAGAAAAAAAAAAGAGAUUUUGUGUCAUCUCAUCAGGAUAAACAGAAGAAGGGCACGGCGUACGGGAAGCAAACACGGAAGGAACGGAAACGAAAACAGAGGAAACUCCGGGCUUUUCUACAGUCGAACUCGACGCAGCCCAUGAGGCUCCCAAACUGGGCCGGAUCGAAGGCCCAAGCAAGCAGCGCACAUGCGCGCGCGGGUGGAGCGUUUAGUCCCACAUCUCUCGCUGAGCUGAGGUGUGAGUCGAGGCCAGCUAUAAAACCAGCAGGGGGUGCCCGGCUGCAACUCAUACCUUUCUCGGCCUUUUGGCUAAGAUCAAGUGUAGUAUCUGUUCUUAUCAGUUUAAUAUCUGAUAUGUGGGUUAUAUGCCCACUUCGAUAUUAAAUUUAUUUUUUGUGGGGGAAGGUCCACCACAGUAGCUUGCUACUGGGGCCUUCGAGCGUCGCUUGGGCUAUGCACUACUGCCCUAGCCUGGCGCACCCCAACCAAAACAAAGCUAAAAUUUUCGGCUCGAUGGUCCAGCUGCUGGCCGUGGGGCGGGCCUAAAUUGAUUGCUCUGACUGGAGCAAACGUCGGGCGGGGCCUUAUUUUUUCUUGUUUGGCUUUGGACGGCCCAUUGACAAACUCGGCCUUGUCUAUUUCGUCUUACCUGCUUCCGACUACGCGGUUUGAAUAGCGGUAGACAAACUAAGAACUCGAAAGAGAAGACUUCAGGGUGCAUGAAAAAACAGUUGACUCAUUGCUUAAGCAAUUGUUCUAUAUGGCGCUGCAAAGCAACACUCGAGCGUUGCGUCUGCAUUCAUGUUCCUGGGGCUGGGAAUCGCCAAAGGGGUUAAAGAGAAAGGUGACUUCAAAAAUGCCUUGUUUUGUUUUGUCGCUGCGGCAAGUAUGUACUUAUCUCAGUGCAAAAGUUGAGCUACUACACGAACUGCAAGUCAAAUGGCAGGCAAACAAUAGCUGACCCAGCUUUCGUUCAUCAGACCUGAUUUGAUAUGGUUCAUGGCAACUUACCCUUACUUUUUUUUUUUGGAAAAAAAAACUUACCAUACAUGUUACUAGUAAUUACUGCUCGAUUGUGACUUCUAUUAUGGUUUCAUGGAUCUACUCCCUCCAUCUCAAAAAGAAUACAACUCUCGCUUCUCGAGAAGUCAAACAGUUUCAAGUUUGAUCAAAUUUAUAAAACAAAGUACUAACAUUCACGUCUCCAAAUAGAUUUAGUAUGAAAAUAUAUUACAUGAUUAAUCUAUUGAUAUUUAUUUUGUACCAUAAAUGUUACUACUAUUUUGUAUAAAUUUGGUCAAAAUUUAAAAUUAGUUGACUUCUCGGGAAGCGAGGGUUGCAUUUUUUUUGGGACGGCAGGACACGUAUAGUGUACAGUGUGCACCGAUGACAGAAUCUGGUGCUUCCUUGUAGGCUGCAAAGGCAGAAACUUGAGUUCAGGGAUUGUUCUAAGCUGACACAACACUUCAGACAGUUGUUAGCAGCAAGAUUCUAAGGAAACAUGUCAGCUGAAGGCAAGCGAUCCGAUUCCAGCAGGACUCUUGAGUUGCAAUACUGGUUUCAGAAAGAAAGCGGUAAAAACUGGAUCUUGAUCGCUGCCGGUGAAUCUGAAUGCUGCCGCAAUGUGUGAUGACUGCAUCAGCACACAUGGUGAACGCACCUACUCUUGCUUGCGGUAACUAAUAAACUAAAGGUUUGGGCUGUCAGGUAAAAGAUCCUGGAGAACAGCAACAGAGCACUGCUACAUUACAAAAGUGAAGUGGUUCAGUGAAUAAUGCCGAAAUGCAGUUCAGAGUGCAGGCACAGAGCUGUUCGAGAGGGUGUCCGGUUCAGAACUGACGGUGAACGGCCAAGAGGGUGUGCAAAUGCGACAGAGAAGCCAUGGAGGAGCAUCCUCGAUUAGCUUGCAGGGGCGUGCACGUCCAAAGCUACGUCGAGGGAGCAAGCAACAGCAAGGUAUCAUGGCCCCACUGGUGACCCACCCAAGCAGGCAAGGAACCCCGCGCCGUCGGCUAUAAGGCCGGAGUGCUUCAUCUCCCUCCUGCCUCCAAUCGCCUUAGCCUGCCCCCGCCAUAGCGUCGGACCUCGCAUCGGCUUUUAGUCCAGAGACAGAGACACGGCCGUCGGGCGCCAUGGCGGCGGAGCCUGGCAAAGAAACUGUCGCACCGGCUCCGCCACCACGAGAACCUGAAACCGUUGACGGAAGACCUGCUGAAGCUGAAAUCGCCGACCUCGUCGCACCUCUUACAAGCGAGCCGGCGGAGGCGCCGCAUGCCGUGGUGGAGCCAGGCGAAGAAACUACCACACCACCUCCACCUCCACCUCCGCGAGAAACCGAACCCACCGACGGCGUUGCUCCCGCGCUCGACCCCGCACUGCCCACGGCCGAGUCGGCUCGCCUGGCGCCGCCACAAGAGAAGCCUGACGCCGCUGCGGCUGGCCCCCCGGAGCAGACGACGACGGAGGCAGGCGGCCUGCCACCUACGCCAACCAAGGCGGAGGAAGUGGCCGCAUUGCCUCCGCCUGCCGAGAAGCCGUCGCUGGGGAGGGUGGUGACGGCGGCGGUUGAAGCCGAGAAGCAGUUCCCCGUAGCUGCUGCGCCUGCGCCACCACAGCAACAGUCGCCGCCGCAGCAGCAGCAAGAAAGCGGCACUGCGAAAGAAGCAUCCUCGGUUCACGCGGAGAAGAAGGACGCGGCACCGGUAGCAGCGCAUGAGGGAGAGGAGAAGAAGCCGGGGGAGAAGCUCGCGGCACUGGCGCCGAUGGCGCAGGAUGGACGUCGCGGGUGGCGACAUCUCCAGGCCGCCGUGCGCUUGAUCUUCCUCCGCUGCAAGAGGGCUCCGCGCGGAGAUCAGAGCACUCCACAGUCUCCAAUGCCCGAAGACAAAGGAGGAGAGACGAAGCCGCCGGCGUCAGUGCAGGAGGAAAAGAAGCCGACGCUGGCGGACGAAGGGGAGACUAAGCCGCCGGCGCCGGGCGGCGAGCAGCAGGCGUCAGGGCAGGAGCAAGUGGCCACAUCGCCUCCGCCACCGCCAACCGAGACAUCGUCACUGGAGAGGGCGGCGACGGCGGCUGAGGCUGAGAAGCCGCUCGCCGCACCACCACCACAGCAGCCGCCGCAGAAGGAAGAAGGCGGCGCUCCCGGACAAGCCUCCUCUGUCCAAGAGGAGGAGGAGAAGGGCGCGGCACCGGCAAAGGCGCCGGAGGGAGAAGAGAAGCCGGCGCGCCGUCGGUGGCGACGUCUCAAGGCCGCAGUGCUCCUGCUCUUCCUCCGUCCUAAUAGCUCUCCCCGGCACGGAGAUCAACUGUCCAUGGACAAAGAAGAUGAGGUGCAGCCGCCGGCGCCGGCCGGCAAGCAGCCGGCGUCAGGGCUGGAGGACAGGAAGACAAUACAGGCGGAGAAGCCACAACGGAAGGACAGCGCUGUAGGUGUUCCCGCUGAGCCUCACAAAGGCGAGAUGAAGCCGUCGGCACCGGAUGGCGAGGUGCCGGCGUCAGGGCAGAAAGAGCAGAAGCCGGCGACGGCGCCGAAGCCGUACGGGAAGGACAGCACCGGCGGUGUUCUUGACAAGCCUGGAGUUAAGCGGAAGGAUGAACGUGGAGAAAGCAAGCGCCGCCACGACGAGAGCCAGGCUGGCGCCGUCGCUGGAGGCGACGCCGGCCCUGAAGGAACGCCGGCGGGGAACACGAAGACGACAUCACCCCCCGGCUCUUUGGCGAAGAAGUUUCAGAAGGCGGUCAAGCGGCUCCUGGGCAUCUUGUCGUGGUACAAAGAGCACCGCUCGUCGAGGGUGGGCGGUGAGCCUCAGGCAGGGGCGCCGCCGAUGGAGGAGAGCAAAGGCGCUGACGAGAUCAAGCCGGCUACGGCGCUGGAUGGUGACAAAGGCGCCGACACCGGCACCAAGCCGUCGCCGGCGGACGGGAAGCAGCCGGCGUCAGGAUCGAAGGAGGAGAAACUGAAGAAGUGGGAACGGGAGGAAGAACGGCUUGAGGAGAUCCUCGAGGGUGCUUUCACGAGGCUCCUCGCGGCGGAGUACCACCAACUCCGGCCCAUCAGGAAGAAAUGCCUCCUCACCUUCUCCGUCUUCGACCUCGCCUCCGAGGUGAAGAAGCAAGUCAUGGUCUACUGGUGGGUCUCCGAGUUCAACCUCCGGCACCGGAGUGAUCAAUCAGUUAAAUCAGCUGCAGACGCGGCGCCGACGGAGACAAGAAGAAGCACCUGCUGGCAGGCACGUAAAACUGCUGCUGCUGCUGCUGCUGCCGCCGGCGGUGGAGGCCAUCCACCGGCACCGGAGGGUAGUAAAGCCGAAGAUCACGGCGGCAAGCCUGACGCCGAGGCGGAGGGCAUAUUCUCCGAGCUCUCCAGCCAUGGCUUCCUCGAGCCGAUGAAGAACUGGUGCAGCAGGGUGAUCCAUGGCUGCAAGGUGAACCCCCUGGUGCACUGGAUGCUGAAGCGCCGGGCAAGGGAUGACCGCUUCGCCGACCUGGACGUGAAGGGAAGCCCGGCGUACUUGCAGCACAGUUCCAGCAUCCUCUGCCUGACGGCGUGCAACCGUGGCCUGCUACAGAGGAUGCGCAUGGCAGAUGAGUCACAACAGGCCGGGAAUAAAACCGACACCACCACCACCACCACCACCACCACAACAACAACAACAACAACUACUGCAGCCCAGGACAAGGCGCCAGACCAGGUAUUUAUGCUAUCAGCAUUUACAUGGCUCCUAGUAUUUAUUUAUCCAAACAAGCCGAAUGACCGAUGCAGUUGCAAUGCUAGAAUUUUGUUAGAGGAAAAGCCGAAUAGUCAGUGUGUGGUUGCAAGCUUAGAUUUUUUUUAAGAAAAUACAUUUCGUGCCAUUCCGUGAAGUAUAACCCUGCGCCGCGUCUAGCAUCUGGCAAGAACAUGCGUGCAUGCCCAGCCCAGCAUUGUUUGUCUCUCUGUAACAAAACAAAAAACUAGACACCAUCCAGGACUAGUUGCAAGGCUGGAAUUCAAAAUAUGACAUUUUCAUUUUACAAUUCAAACUUCUGUACAUCGUUACAAUAAUUCUAACCAAAAUUUGUAUAUUUCCUCUUAAUUUCAUUUUUCUAAUUUUAAGUCCGAUUUGAGUGCCCUUUUACUAAAAUUUCACUUUAGGAAUUAUCUUGAAGUGAUUGAUGGCUCUCCAGUUUCAUAUCUGCCUAGUGUUUUUUAUACAAUUUUUAUAUCAACGAGAAUACAAUUAGUGUUUGUCUCCUAAUUUUAUUCUUCUUAGGCAUCUAACCAGCACAAAUGCACAAUUACGACUUUCUGUAAUAUCUAAUCAUUCCAUAUAUCUAAUCUAAUUUUUAACUGAAAAAACAUUUUUCUUUGCACUAUAUAUGUUGACUCUCUAAAUGUUUGUCACUUUCUUUACAUAUGCAUUAAAGUAUGCGUGAUAUGACCCACAUUUUGUUUUAUUAUAUCUUUGUAAAUAUGAAAAUGGUAUUUAUGAUCUCAAUGGACCAUCCUUUUGGAUCUAGGAUCACCAAAAUAAAGAACUAGUUUUCAUUUUCUUAUUUAGAAAGUUCCAAACGAUUCUUUUUCUUACUGAGUCAUCUAUAGGGGGGUUGCUUAAAUUUUACUCCCUCCAUCCCAAAUUACUAUUCUUUUUAGAUUUUCUAGGUACAUAAUUUUGCUACGUAACGUAUCUAGACAUAGCAUAUAGAGAUGCAUAGUAAAGUCUAUGUAUUUAGAAAAGCCAAGGCAAAUAGUAAUUUGGGACUAGAAGUUUAGCAUGUGGUUGUCGUUUGAUUUGAGUAUACAAUUCUAAUGGCUGAGGCAGCUUCCAGAUGUAACAAAUUGCUAAGAAAGCUGCAAUAAAACAAGCAACUAACUAGGAAUAAACCAAUAAUUUGGACAACAUUAGUCCUUUUCUAGUUAUAAAUAUAUUGUUUAGGCUUUCAUGUUUCUUGAUAUAUAAGGUAGAAAUACCUGCAGCACACUAUUAGAUUUCUAGCGUGUUAGUUUAUCUUCCAAGAAAGCUAUGUAUAUUUUUUGAAAAAGAAUACAUAGGAGUACGUACUCAUCAUGACCCUUUUAUAUCUGCUUUGUUUAGGACCCAAAAAACACUGAGUCCAUCCCUUCCAUUGAAGAGAUUGAAAAAUUAUUCAAACGAAAGCAAGUAAUCCUCAAUGUCAAUGCACAUGUGUACCCAGUCUCGAAGUCCACAUUCUUUCACCUUGCCGACAGCUUGGUUGUGCUGCAGCUCGGCCGAUGGUGUAAUCUCGAUGACAAUACAUACAUGGAGGUGGAUGGCCUAGAAUCUUUGAGUACCAUUGGCUUACUCAAGAACCUCCGGUAUCUUAGUCUCCGUGGGUUGUCACGGCUAACGGAGCUCCCAAAAGGGAUCCGAUGGCUUAGGAAACUUGCAAUCUUAGACAUGCGUGGUUGCCAAAACCUUGUCAAUGUGGCAUCAAAGAUCACCACACCAUUGAAGCAGCUUACCCAUUUGGACCUCACUGAGUGCUACAUGUUGGAACAUAUUGGCCGAGGAAUCACCUCUCUCUCAGAGUUGCAGGUGUUUAAGGGCUUUGUGUUUGCAACUGGAACACAAGGUAAUAAGGCAUGCCGAUUGCAGGACCUCAAGAGGUUGAGGAAGCUCCAAAAGCUCACUGUUAGAAUCACCACUGAUGCUAAUGUAGGAAGGAGUGAUAUGGCAGAGCUUAAGCAUCUCACCAGCCUUCGUAAACUCACAAUCACAUGGAGUGAGAUACCAAGCAUAUUAGAUGGUGACUCAGACACGGUGAAAGUUAGGCGUGACGAACUUAUUGAGAGAUGGACCAGCUUUGAGCUGUCACAAGAGCUUUUGAAACUGGAUCUUCGGUGCUAUCCUAAGAAUGUGCUAAAACUCAAAAAGCACCAGAAUCUCAAGAAGCUUUAUUUAAGAGGUGGAGAUUUGGAAAGAUUUUCAAUUGGUGAUGAAUCAAAACCGAGUAAUUCCUCCGAAAAAACAAACUCCAUCAAGACAUUGCGUCUAAGGUACUUAAAAAACUUUAGUAUGAAAUGGGAAGAUAUUCGUUUAUUAUUGGGGGAUAUUGAAUACAUGGAAAUUGUGACUAAGGAUGAAAAGCUAAUGAAGGAUGUGAAUAAGGAUCAAAAGGAUAUAGAGGAAGAGAGCAAGCCUGUGAAGGAUGUAGAAAUAAAGGGUCAAAAGGAUAGAGGGGAAGAGCCCAAGCCUGUGAAGCAGAAAAAGAUAAUAUACUCUACUUUGGAUGAGAAUGGGGUAUGGGUGAAGGAUCAGAAGGAAGAGGAUAACCUAAGGUUGAUUGCACAAGCUAGCAAGGAAAAAGAAGCUCAGGAUGCCAUGGAAAAGAGCAAAGGUGCCCUAUCUAACUAUCAUUAUUCACUUACACACACGCACACGCAAAUCUUGUUUGUUAAACACAAAAGAACUCUUUUCUAGGUUUUGAGUUGGUUUUUAUAUUCUUGUGUUUUUUUCUAGUUUCAGGACCUAUUGAAGAUCCUAACAAAGCUGCUAGCAUCGUCAAAGAUGCCAAUGAGGAUGACAAUACUAGAAAAAGACAACCAGGUUUUCCCUUCGCUAAAGAUAAAGUAAUCUAAAUUCCAAUUAUAAAUUGUGAUCAUUCGACAAUGAUAUUUCUUAUGCAAUUUAGAGGGCAAACAAGAACAUGUAGCAACUGAUGAGGUGCCACAACAGUUGAAGACAGAACCAACUCCCACAGUUUAGAGAGUGCAAUCAUCUUUUAUAAUGAUGAUACAGGUAAAGCACAACCAUAUUAUGCCACCUUGAAGUACAAAAAAUGUAAGUUAAAACCAACCUGUGUGUUGGCACAAGCUAACAAGAAUGCUUGAUUAUAUAUGUAGACAUCAAAGGGCGGGGAGGUGGUGUCAAUGGCCCAUGAUAGCGCAUUACUGGUCAUGUUCUAGGCAUUAUGGAGGAGAUUACAUAUCCAUAAAACUAGAGGCUCUACAAUACAAUAUUAUUAUGACAAAGAAGCUUUAUGUGUUAGUGAUUUUGAAGAAGAUGUAACACCCUAAUUUUCAAAUUUAGCAAUUAAUAAAAUUUGUUAGAAUUUAAUUGCAUAUGUCUAAGGAAUUUUAAGGUUGUAUUUAAAUUUUCUUAGGCAAUUAACUCUUUUUCAAAAUAAAUUAAUGAAUCAUAAGAGUUCAUUGUUGCAUUCAUGCUGGUGAUUGUUUUUAGUUGCUUGAAUUCAAAUUUAUGUUUGAAUUCAUUUGUUUCAAUCUUUUAAACAAUAGGAAAACCUUUUAUUUCCCUCUUUUUUUCCUUUCGACCCUGUUGACACCAAAACUUGCUGCAAUAAAAGUGUGUUGGCGCUAAAAAUCGGCCAAUGACCUUCAGCGUCGGACACACGACCCGGGAGAAUCUGCUUAGCUCCUGUUCGGGUGAUCGCCCUGGUGCGGUUCGUGCGGCGUGCCAAUCAAUCUGACCUGUUGAUUGAUAAGGAAAGAAACGUAUUAAAUCCCAGGGGUUUCGAUCGGCUAAGGUUCCGAUCUGUCUCGAAAAGGAUAACAGCAAAUCGGCCGAUUUGCUAUGAAGAUGACCGGCUAUAGAAUAGCCGACAAUCACGCAACGAUUGUAAAGAAUCUACCAGAGCAGACUAGACAAAGCUACGAAGCAACACCUGAAAUAGAUCUUAUCGGCUGUAUAAUGAUAAAUAAAAAUAACAGUAAUAAAGCCAACAGUUCAAAUCUCAAGUUGGAUAACUGGUAAUAAAACUAAAAUAAUAGAUAAAACCUAUUGUUCUAGUUAAUAUCGAUAAUUUGUGAAUAAAUCUAAAUGAAACGACAGCGAUGCGCCCGAAGUUAAAGCUUAGAUAUUACUCGAUAAACGGAACUUACAGAAUCAGCCAGAGAUCGUAUCGAUGCAGCCCUGCCAACCCAUACGAACUCGUGAAAGAAAAAGAUAUAUUGGCGAAGUCGCUGACUUGAAAGUAAAGUACGAUGAAAAAGUAGAUUGUUUGUAUUGAUUGAUGUGUUUUUUUACAAAUCUCUAAAGAUGGCUAUUUAUAGCCUGUUACAACUGAUUUCCUAACCAACUAGGAUCUAUCUCUAAUUUUAAACGAAACAAAUAUUUACAAACACCACUCGUACCAGAGUUGGUCAUCAUACUCCCACAGGCCAACCUUUCUCUAUCUUCUUUUUCUGGCCCACCUUAAGCCCAUAUUGGCCCAAUCGCUCCAACCUUCCAAUCGGCUGAUCCCCACCAACUCCGUCUGUCAAUCGCUCGAAACACUGUAGCGCCAAUCGGUCGAUUCCCAACUGUAGCGCCAAUCAGCCGAUUCCCAAUUGUAACCUUUUAAUCUGCCGCAUCGGCCAAUCCUUUCCUCUCUUGACGCCGAUCCAAAAUGUGUCAAAAUCUGGCAUCAACAGGCCCGCUUCUUCUUUCUGGCCCAGCCGCAGCAGUAGCCCAGCAGGCCGGCUCGCCUUCGCCUCGGCCCAGCUCUCGCGUCGGCUCGCUCCCGCACCGCUCCUCCGCCUCACCUGCCGACAAGUGGACCCCACUAGUCAUCCUCCUCCUCUCGCUCUCGCCCGCGCCGCGCCCGAGCCGGACUCGAGUCCAAGCUCGUGCCGCCCUCGCGCGCACGUCCGCCUCGGCCUUGGGCCUGCAUGCCAAGGCCAGCCCCCGGGUUAUAAAAGGCCGCUGCCCCCCCUCGGCCUCACCAAACCCUAAGCCGCUGCCUCGAGCUCCAGCGCACGCCCACCGCCGUUGAUCUCCGCCGCUGUCGCCCUUCCAUUGACAAGGACACCGCUCGAAGCACCGCAAGGAAGUGAGGAGGCCGCCCAUGAAGUUCCCGCGCUCUCCCGUGUUUUCCUCCACGCGGACAAGCUCGCCGAAGACACGCGCCGUUGUGCCGUGCCACUCCGCCAUGUCACCUUGCGCCAUCGUAGCGCCAACCACCACGACAACACCCUAGAUGUGUUCGUCGUGUGCUCUGCUUCCUCUAGGGCUAGAUCACAUUGCAAAACGAGCCCGGAUGCUCGAUUUCGAGCGAGUUCCAGCGAGUCACCGCCGCGCGUCACCGCUUUACCGCCCGUGCGCUGCUCGUCGAGACCCAGGCGUCCGCAGCCGCUCGAUCUUGAUCCGACGGUCCGGAUCAGAUAUGACCCGGGUCAAUACCGAUCAACCCCCGUGCCGCGUCGGUCUUUUUGCUAAAGAGUCCCGGAGUUUUAUAGUUUUUGCGCCACGGUCCAGCGUAGUUCAAAAGUAAUUAGAUCUGGGUCCUUUUUCUUCUGUUUUAGCCCCUGAUCUUCCGCAAAAUAGUGCUCGCCCUCUUUUGUGUGUUAAACCUUUGGUUUAUAUGCGUAUUUAUGUUUUAGCUCUCAGUUUCGUCAAGUUUAGCCCCUGGAAGUUUAGUUUUCUUGCAGAUAAGCCCCUACACCUUGUUUAGUUCAUAUCUUAGAUCCGUUUUAAGCGUUUCUUGCAUCUGUCAGUUCGUGUUGGCGCAUAGAUUAGUUUUAUGAUCUUAUUUUGCUUUGUUGCUACUAUUUUCUUAUUUUAUUUCCUUUGUUUGCUUCUAUGUGUUCGUGUGAUGCGUAUAGAAGGACCACAGUUUUGAGGAAUUCAAAGGUCAAGGCUUUGAAGUCUUCGAGGAGCCGUUCCCAGUUGAGGAAGGCAAGUCGUGCCCUUGAUCACAACUUGAUCCUAUGCAACCUUUACUUUCAUGUUCAAUACACAUAUGCUAUGCAUGUUAAGUUUAUAAACAUGAUAGGUCCUAUUUAAGGUGUGCCUAGUUUUACCCCUAUGCCUUGAUCAACCUGGGUUACUUUAAUGUUGGAUAGUGCUUGCUUAGUUGCUCAACUUGGUUAUGGUGGUAUUAAUGAACCAAUGUUUAAACUUGUUUUAUUGAUGCUAUACCUUUCAUUAAUACAAGAUCACCAUGCUUAAUUGGAACAUGGAGCGACCACACAAGAAAACAGUACAACCACAAGAACUAUAUGGAUCUGAUCUUAACUAAUUAAUUAGAGACUCUAGUUUGAAGCGGUCUUACAGAAAGGGCAAGAGGGGCAGCCGCAAAUGGGGUAUAACCCGACCCUUAGAUUGAUCUGCUCUAUGGUAGCUUCGCAGUCUUGAGAGAGGUUUAUGCUCUACUACUGAUCCGAAAACCUUAGCAGGCUACUUCUUAUUAGGGAAUCUUUAUAAAUGCCUCGUAGCGUCCCUAUGCAAUCACUCCUCUGAAGUGUGGUAUUGUGCCUGGCCUGCACAGCAUGGUUGGGUCUAAAGUUUGUUUUGAACUUUUACGCGACUUGUGAGUAAAGAUGUACAACCUCUGCAGAGUGUAAAUCUGAUCGAUCAGCCGUGCUCACGGUCAAGUGCGGCUUGGACCCUCACAUGAUUAAUUUAUCGGAAGUUGAAUUAAAUUGUUGUUAUUUAUUGUUGUUAUCUUUAUUUAUGUUUAUAUUUAAUGUGGGUGCUAUACACUUAUACUUAGUAAUUGCUAAUAAAACUUGACCAACCAACUAAAAUGCUGAAUUGCUAUUAAAUCAUAGCCUAUCCUUGAUUAGCCUUACACUACACAUUCCUCACGCUUGCUGAGUACCAACCAUAAGUGUACUCACCCUUGCUAAAACUGCUGCUCAGGACAAGUCAACUUUGAGGAUGUUCUUCAAGACUUCAAUUAGUUUUAGGUGUACGUGUUCCCCUAGUCAACUGCCUGUGGAGUCAUCAUCUUCGCUGGAGUUCCGCUGCUAUAAUAAAGACUCAAUUUGCUGUUCGAUUUAAAGACUAUCGGUCAUGUAAUAAAUAUAAUACUCUCUUUACAUUAUAGCACUGUCUUUGAUAUUUACUGAAGUCGUUGCAUGUGUGUAACUUGAUCCUGGCGCACAUCCUGGCGCACAUGUAAUUCAUGCAUCUGGUUUUGCCUUUAAAACCAGGUGUGAUAGAAGAGGCUCAUGGCAAAGUCUCCAAAAAAAGCAAGUAGAGUGCUAGACACAGAGCUUCCUCUCAUGCAAGCUUUUAAGAGAUAAGUUGUAUGUGUUGAUAAUGAUACAAUGAAGCCAAUAGAGCUCAAGGAAAAACUAUACUCCUGUCAAAGAUACAAUGCAGCCAAUAUAAUUCAAUAAGAUUGGUGACAACAAUUGAUUGAUCGGUUGUAGUGAUAUACAUACAAAGAGUACUCAAUAAUUAUGUUAACUAGGUGAUUCCCCGCGUGUUGUUGCGGGAUUUGAGAGAGCUUUUCGAUAAACUAUGAACCAAUGUGGUUGUCUAAUUGCUCAUAUAAAUGGUGCACUUGUAGAGAUUACGUUGUAAGCCAUGAGCGACCUCUUCGAUAAAAAUCAUAGACUUUUGAAUUACUCUUAGGUUAAUUAAUGGAUGUAGAAGAAUGAAACCAAUAAGACAUGUAUCUAAUAAAUAGAAAAUGUGCACGAAGUUGAUCGGAUGGUUACAAUAAUCAAGAUGAUGUGGCUGUUUGAGAGAAGAGAGAAAUAACAAUAAAUACUUAUUAGUGGUUUUCUUCUAUAUAAUAUAUAUAGAUAUGAUAUAUAGAUAAACUUUUGACCUUGUAGCAUCCUUGAACUCAUUCAUUGCUUGGACAUAUCUAUUGUGUAUCUUAUUAGGAGAGUUGAUCAAAGAGUCAAGAAAAGGAGAGUUUGUAUCACAUCCUAAUCGAAACUAAAUUAGUAAUAUUGCAGCUACUUUGUCACUAAAACAAAGUAGUGAUAGUAUUUGUACUAUUUGCUAUUUUUCUAUUAGAAAAAACUGUUUAUGAGACAUUAAUGAAAACCAAGUAAAUAAUUAAGAACCCUUAGUGGAUUGUAGACGGUCAGGAUGUGAAGCUUUUUAGAUCGGACAGUGCAAACAAUUAAGGUGAUGUGGCUGCACCACAUACGAGAGAGUUAGCAAUCAAUGAGUCUUAGUGGGAUGCUUCUCUAUAUUAUAUAUAGAUUACAUUUGUUUGCACUUUCUAAGAAGGUGCUGCUGACGUGAGAAUAUGACUCUGCCAACCCGUGUUCAAAUCCCUUUUAUCAGUAUUUACACACAUGCAGGUGCUUUCAACAAUGGCACAUUUGUGAGUUUGUAAUAUGGGAAAGGUUUAUGAGUAUGGUGCAUGUACGAUAGGGUGGAUAUGUGUAUAUGGAUGGCAACGGCACAUUUUACCCGUGUGCCCACGAGCAAAAACCCUAUAGGGUGAGGAUGCGGGUUUCAAUUUAUGUCCACGGGCAAAGGUACGGUUCCAGUUUGUGCAUACCGGCAAAAAUAUGGCGGGCAUGAAAAUAUCUUACCCGUGCCCGUAAACCUGCGAACUCGCAACACAUCCCUAACAUGUGGAUCUAUGCACAAGUAUAUAAUAGAAGUACCAGGAUUUCUAGGUUCCCUUCAUUUCACUCCUCCUCCCACCCUUCCACUCGCACCACAGGCUGCCGCUGCCACCCCUCCCAGCUCCUGCAUCUGCGGCCCUGCGUGGGGCACCCCAGCCACCAGGCGAUCUAUAAUAGCUCAAAAUCUCACACAAAUAAAAAUUGUUUGAAUUCAAAAUUUAUUUUUAAAAUCUAAUUGCAAAAUAGUUGAGCACAUCUUCCUUUACAUGAAAAAUAUCUAUCAAGCUUAAACUCUCUCCUUUCUUUCUAACAACCAUCUUCAAAUCACUAUCUUUUUCUCUCUCCUCUAAUCUCUAUAUAUCUGAUUCCUCUAAUCUCUCUCCCUUCACACACACUCACGCACACACAACACACUAGCAGGCAGUAGCAUGCACAUACACAUCUCUCACAUGCAUGCACAUCUCACUCUCUCUCUCAUCAGUAUAUACACGGAAGUGCACAUAGACACAGCUGGCAUGUUGCUGCUACUAACCAGCCCCACCAUCUGUUCUUCUUCCUCCGUCAUUGCAGUACACACACAAACACAGCGCCUGCGCCACGCAUGCACACAACAACCUCUCUCUCCUCACGCAUGCACAAGCAGCGCACCUGCAACAUGCAUGCACCCUCACGCACACACAUCUGACUCUCUCUCUCUCUCUCAUCUUCUCUCUCUGUGGUGGACAGAAGAAAUUGGAGCACAGCUAGCACCAGCGUGCAGCCCGUCGCUCCUCUGCUCUCCAUCUCCGAUCGGCAAGGUGUUUGAUACGGGUACCUAAACUGUAGCAGUGUCACAUCAGAUGUUUGGAUACUAAUUAGGAGGACUACACAUGAGUUAAUUAUAAAACUAAUUGCAGAACCCUGUGCUAAUUCGCGAGACGAAUCUAUUAAGCCUAAUUAAUCUAUCAUUAGCAAAUGGUUACCGUAGCACCACAUUGUCGAAUUAUGGACUAAUUAGAUUUAAUAGAUUCGUCUCGCGAAUUAGACCUCAUCUGUCCAAUUAGUUUUAUAAUUAAUCUAUAUUUAAUACUUCUAAUUAGUAUCGAGCAACAGCUUGAGCCUGCACGCCACCUACCUCCUGCUCUUUUCUCUCCACCGAAGCAAAGCAGAACACCUGCUGCUCUCUCUGAUUUCUUUUGCAUCGCAAGAGCAAGCAAACAACAGCUAACAGCUCGUCUCCUCUCUUUACUUCUCAGUUCUCUCUCCACCGAACAACAGCCCAAUUGAUCUCCUUUCUCUCCUCCAAUCGAGCACCUCUCCCUCCUCUGUGCUAGUCCGCAUCGAAGCAAUUGGCUGCAGCUCUCCCUGCCCCUUGGUCCGAAACAGCAAGCAGCAAGCUGCAAGUCUCUUUCACUCCCCUCUGUUGUUUUCCUUCCUCCACCCUCCAGCAGCCCUCGGCGCGUGGCCAGGGAGCAGCUGAGCGCGGCCGGCGCAGCCGGCGGGCGGCCAGGCCGGCGCGCCCCAGCAGGUGGCCAGGCCGGAGCGGCCACCGGCGGGCGGCCAGGCCGGCGUGGCGCGUGGCCAGGCCGAGCCAGGCGCGACGCGGCCCAGGCCUGUGGCCGGCCAUCAGGGCCACCGCGCUCCAUGACCCUGUGCGGCCAUGAAUAAGGCCAGUUUGCAGUUAGACCCCUGUGGAAACAUGAAACCGCAACCUUGUAGUUUGUGUCUUUAACAUCUUGCAGAACACCACCCCUAGAAAUCCCUCACCUUGAGAUCCAGUCCAAUCCGGACCUUUUGCCAAGCUAACCCCAAAGUUUGUCCUAUUCGCGGUGUCUGUCCACUGAGUCUAGGGAAACUUCUCGUUAGCCCCCGGAUCUACGGUUAAUUCCGUAUAAGCCCCUAAAUCUUUCAACCUUCAUCAUUCCUUCAUUUUAGCUCCAAAUUGAGUGAUUAUUUUUCCUAAAAUUUUCUAAAAUCAUGCUCUAUCAAUUAGUAAGCUUGAUUUUGUCUGUUAGCCACUGUGGCCAGCACUUUGCACAUGGCAUGCUUUCGUUCGGUAAAACGGACGUCGAGCCGUUCGCCGGGCGAAACGUUGCCGACUCGUUGCCACGUGCCAGCAUGCCACUCUAGGGUACCCCUCGCGGUGCCUUCCUUUCGCCGAACACGCGACACGCACUAACUGCGCUCGCGCGCAACACCCUGGCCCUAGGAAGAGACCGCACGCUGCCGUCCGGCACCUUUUGGCGCCGUUAUGCACUGUUAGCACUAAUCUUGACUUAGCACAUAUAUGUGUGUGUCGCGUGCAACGCGUGCGUGCGUGUGCGUUCUCGUUUGAGUCAGUUAGCUUGUUUAGGGAGAGUCCGUGUCAGGCCAGGACGGCCGUGGCCGCGUUCAAGCUAUCGUAGUAGGUUCGGCCGGAUGGUGCGCGUGUAUGGGCUCGCGUUCGCGUCGUGGCCAGUUUCUGUUAGGAUUGCAGUUGCAGACUUGCAGGGAUGGCUGAAUCGUUGGCCAUGGCGUCAAUAGCGGAAGGGAGCGCGAUCUGGCGUGCGAGUGGAGUUGAGGACCGGUUCUUGCGGAGGAGUUUGGUGCUCGGAACGCAGAGAAGGCCGAGUCCGCCGGGGUGGUGCGUGAGUACGCACCGAGCUCGCCGUAGUGGGUUGUGUGGGCGCUGCGACUCCACUGGACCUUUAUAUGGCCGUGUAAUCCUUGUGUAAACUUCUGUUCGAGUCCAUUUUGAGUUGAAUAGCAGGCUGCAGGUCAUUCGGCGGUCGUGGCGUUCGUCGCCGGAAACUACUGUUCAUCUUCCUCCUUGCGUCUGUGCGUGAGCGUGAGUGAUCUUAGAGCUAGAGCUAGUUCCAACAUGCACUACGGCCCCAUCUUGCUUUGCCACCCACGCCGGCUUUGCCGUCUCGUCGCGUGUGUGUCGGCAACGCCAUCCCUCGCUACAUCAUCAUCCCUGUACUACCAAUACCCCGCCGCGCCGUUGCUGGCCACUACUUUCUCUUGGCCAAUUAAAGGCGCAUUCACGCAGCUCCUCCACCACUCCCAACUCAAUUUCCAACCAGCCCGGCCACCUUUCCCAGCCCUAGCUCACUCACCCUCUCGGUUCCAUUAGAGCAAGGUUCUGCUCGUCGCUCUCUCUCUCUCUCUCUGAUCUUCCUCUGGGGAAAUCUUCCGAGCUCGUCGUGCUCUUGGUAAGCAUCUUGAACUGUUAGUUGGCCUAACAAUCUUAGACAGAAAUUCAAACCCAACCUAUCUGUUCCUCUUUCUUUUUCUGAAUUUAAUCAGCACUCAAACUUGUGAAGCCAAUAUCUUCUCGAUCCGACUGGCCUCCGAUUGACUUGAUUCCCUUCCAAAAUUUAUCUAAAAUCAAGCUCUAUCUAUCUAUGUCAAUCUUAUAAUUUAUGGAACUCAGUUUGUAUUUAUAUUAAAUUUAUGAGUGAUGUGGUUGUUUGCUCUGUGUCCCGUAGUAAUCACCGAGAGUUCGCGAACGACGAUGAGAAGAAGCUUGGAGUCCGGAACCGCAAGUUAGGAAGCUAGUACUGCAAGCAGAAGCUCGAAGCACGUACCGCGAGCACAAAGACUGGUACCGCAAGCCGGAGAUCGAAACCCGUACCGCGAGUUGAACUAUCCGUUCUUUGAGCGAAGGGCAAGUCCAACCUAUUCCCUUUGAUCAUAUUUAUCCCAGUUUUUAAACACAACUCGUAGAAGCCAAUUUAAAAGUGCAUUCGACUUGUAUAUGAAACCUUGAAAUAUUUACUACUCUAAUAUAGUUAAUAGCCGAUGGACAGGCCACACCAUGCAAUUAUUUAUAAUCCUGAUUAUUCCUUGUCAGCCUAGAUUUAUCUCUAAACAUGAUUUCCUCUGUUUAGAUGAAUUCCUUGAUAAUUGAUACUAGCAUGCUUAGGAUUUAUUUAUGCAACAUUACUUACUAUUGUUUAUCAAAUGCAAUCGUUUACAAAUGAGAAAAAUGGGAUGGGUUGUUUUAAAUGGCGUGAGUUGGUGGAAUUUAUAAAAUGAUGAUGAUGAUGACGGUGAUUACCUAGAGAUGGGGCAGAUCAGGAUCCAUGUGGGACUCCUAGAAGUUUGACUCGAACCUGUGUGGUUGACUUUUGUAGAUAUCCACCUUAUCUCGAUUAAGGACCGAGAAUUGGUGCCCCUAUCUAAGAUUACAGUGCAACCACAUAUGCUUAAAUGGGUAUGGUCUUAGCUUACUAAGUCGGUUGGCCCCGAGGUGAUGUUACCACCCGAGUGCACGAGAUGCACGUCGGUGUCGGGGUAACUAACCCGGGCAGAUGUAUGGAGGCGCUCCUACAGUCUGUCGUGUAGCAUAUGUCAUGUCCAACUGAUGUAAUAGCUCUGUCACGUUAGCUUGCCAACACAUCUCGGAAAGUGUAAAUGUGCGCUGAUCACACAUUGGCAUCAAAGUGAAACAUGACAUGUGGGUAAAGUGUACGAUCUCUGCAGAGUGUAAAAUUAUUCGAAUAGCCGUGCUCACGGUCACGAGCGGCUCAGAAAAGCCUCCAAUUUUAAAGUUUCAAAAACCUUUUGAUAAAAUGGGACUUGGGUAUGAUUUUGAAAUUGUCCAGCAAGAGUGUCAUGGGCUACUGCGGAUGGGGUGUCCGGUAGCAUUAAAAGUUGGAUCCUUCGGUAGGAUCACUCACUGUUUCAAAUACUCUUAAAUAUGAAUAUAUUAUUCUUUUGCUAAAAUGCCUUUACAAAAUUAACCAUGCAUGUGUAAAAAUCUGCUUUACGCAAAAUAAACCCCAGCCACUUCCUUGUACUCCAUUAUGCAUGAGCUUAUACCCCCUCUGUAGAGCGGGUUUGGACUUGCUAAGUACUUUUGUGCUCACUCUUGCCUGCGAUUGCAGAGAACGGUUCAUCGCCGGAGAAGGCUACCCGCAGGUCGUCGCGUUCGCACCCAACUUGCCUGUGGCGUGGGCCAUCAUGAUGCUGAGUUGCGGCGCCAAGUGCUUCAACAAUAUUGUUCUAGCUUUAGCUGUAACUUAUUUGCUAUUUGUACUUCUUGUAUUUUGAUUACAUAUUCACAAACCUCUGCCAUACGGGCGGCAAUGAUCCAUUCUGCUGGAAUGUGUGUACCAGCCUCCUGGGACUGGAUUUGUCCCGCAUUUGACUCCUGUCUAAGCGGGGGUCACGGCACGAUCGAUCCCCCCGACAUCCCAACCCCAAUUCGCUCGAGUGGAGGAGCCAGGAGCGGUCGCCCGUUGCCCAGCCCCGUCACGGGAAUGUUUGGCCCCACCCAUCCUCCGACCUUCGAUUCCGAGCGGCAAAGCCCCGACGCCCAAACCCCUCACGCUGUCGCCCCUGCUGGCUGCUGCGUCAGAGUGCCAAAGUGCUGCAGCCCCAACCACCCCAAGCUGUAGCCUUCUCUGGAUCUGAGGUAUUCUUGAUUUUAGUUCUGAUCUUUCUUCCUUCUCUGUUCAGUAGGGAUUCUUCAGUAGAACGCUAGAUCCAUGAACUGCGGUACUGCCUUUGCUAGAUCCAUGUUGUUGCCAUUACUUAAUGCUAGAUCUUGUAAUAGUUCCAUUACUUAAUUCUAAUUCUUGCCAUGUUGUUGAGCUGCAGUGUUGUUGAACUAUCACGUCUGCAGUCUGGAAGGACUUCACAAGAGUUUGUGAUGAUGAUGGAGUUUGGAUGGUGAAUUUGGCUUGUAGUAUUGUUGAGAUGCUGAACAAUUUAUCUGUUUUGUGAUGUGAAUCAUGUGAUGCAUAUGUGAAUCUAUGAUAACUAUACUUGUUGUAUGGCGGGCAUGGGUGUGCCUGCAGGUUUACUGUGCCCGCGGGCGACGGGUGCGGCAGUUUCUUGUCCGUGACGGGCGACGAGCGCGGGCACGGGCACGGGCACAAGGUUUGCCUGGCGGGCGCGGGUUUGAAAACCCUCUACUCACGGAUAAUGUGCCUGUUGCCAUCCAUAAUGGGUAUGUCAUACUUUCAAUCACAAAAAAAUGAGCACUAAAUAAAUAAAAACAUAAACGAUGUUGUUAUAUGGAGCUAGUGUUAAAUGUGUGCAUGAACUCUUUGCCUAACCUAGAGAUAGUAUAUUAUAACAGGAACAAGCGUUUUAGUUCACUUAUACAUCCAUUCUUGAAAUCCAAGAAAGGACCCUCCCUAAGCCCCUCUAUAUAAGUGGAUACAUGAAGUCAAGUACUUGCACCAAACAAGAUCAAUAGAGUUGGAGGCAUGAAGUCAAGGGAACGAAUGCACCAAUUAGAGCAACAAAAAUUUGGCAUGCUUCAGAUUAGAUGUACAUUUUUACAUUUUCUUGUUUACCUCAUUUUAGCUCUUGAUGAGUGUUGACAUUACAAUAGAAAUGCAAAAUGAUCAUAUGAUGUAAUACUAUGCUAGUUUCAUGUAUGUUUCCUUACAUUUUGAUUAAAGCUUCUACUAUUUGACAAGCUCUUCCUAGUUAAUAUGAUAUUUUUGUUGGUCUCCUCAAGAUGUUUGUACACGAAAUUGCCUAGGUAUGUAUAACUAUUUCUUGUACCUGGUUGGUUGUUAGGUCAUCCAAACUAGUUGACAUUUUAACUAUGAUAAAGUUUAUACUAACUUUUCUAUUUGUUGCCACUCUACAACUUAGAAAGGAAUGAAGUCCAAAUUACUCCUGUCAAAUAUGGCCAAAGUCCAGAUUGCCCCUAAAUUAUUUUUGGUUUGAUUUGCUCCCACAACUAUAUCAAUUAGUUAAACCUACAACAUAACAAGACAUGUCUUUUUUUCAUGCAUAAGUGGAUUUUUAAGUUAAAACUUUUGUAUGGUGAUAGAAGACAUCAUAACUUAUGUUAAAAAUAUACUUUAUAAUUUUUUCAUCAUUAUUUUUGAUACAUUUUGCAUCCCUCGAGUUAUUUUAUUAUUGGAUAUUCUAGCCCAUCAAAAUAAAUGAACAAUUCAGUGUAUUUUCUAACAUACAUCAUGGUGUCCACUAUCACCUUACAAAAUUGUAACUUAAAACUCCAUUUCUGCAUAGAGAAAUAAAUGACAGAUCUUAUUAAGGGGGUAGAUUGGACCAAUUGACGUAGUUGUGAACUCCAACAACAUUUUCCAUUGCAGUAUGUUGCCAAAUAACCUCUCUUACUGAAAGUGCAUCUAGGCUCUCCCUUGUGGGUUUUGGUUGAUUGAUGGAAAAUAUAACCAAAGGACUAAUGACUAUGUUGAUGUAUGGAUAGGUGGCAAAGUGGAUAAAAUUUGUGGAUGGAUAUAACAUGCUAAUCCCCAAUGUUUGUGGUGUAUGGCGUACAAGAUUGGAAGAUUUAAAAUUCUUUUUUUAUUGUGAAAUUGAAAAAAUGAGUUAGGUAUGCCGUACGAAAAAGAGGAUGCAUUCCAAUCAUUUUAUUGAUGUCAAAGUGCUCAAGGAUCAUUCUAUCUAACCAUGAGAGAGACACUCAACAUGCUAACCUUUGGGUGCGCUAGUGUAUCUAGCAAGGGAUCGAAACAACCUUGUUCGGUGAUGUCCACCAGGCUUAAUUAACCGGAUUUUUUGACAUGGUGUUGGAGUGCUCUAGUACAGGUAAGUUCGCACAUGGUUCUCAUUUUCUAGAGUAUCCGGCAUGGGGUGGGAACAACUCUAUUCCGGGUAGGCUCACGGUGCUAAAUUUAUCGGAUUUUCUAACAAGGUGUCGGAGUAUUUGGCACUAACUAGUUUUUGUUGUUUCCACUAAAGGUGCUGAAGUAUUUCGUCAGGCUGCCGGAAUAUCCAACACAAUAACAACUUGUUUUGGGGGUUGGGGGUAUAAAUAUGCCUUUACCCCCUUCAUUCAUUGUUGCCAAACCACCACGGGACAAACACCCUAUUGAGAAUUUAUUACUUUGCUCCCUCAACCUAAAAUUAAUUGAAGGAAUAAAGAUGGACUGUGAUCCACUAAUAGUUGCUCAAGAAUCAAGCACAUGGUCAAUAGAAUUAUCCUUUACACUAAUCAGCCAGCUAAGUCUAUCUCCACUGAACACUCUACGAACGAAGGCUCCAGAGUACUUGGAUUUGGGUGUGUGAGCUUCAUCUUUGACUCCUGAGCACUUUAAGCAUCUUCGAUCAUCGAUUCAUGUUUGUUACUCUUGGAGCUUGGCUCCUAGAUGGCUAGGCAUUGUUGUGGAGCACCCAAAUUGUGUGGUCGUGCCCUGGAUAUUUGUAUUGUCCAUCUUUGAUGAGGAUUUCAUAGUAAAUAACAUUACCUAGACCGGUAGGUUGCUAAGGGUAAGGGUAGGAUUGGUGGCUCAACAUGGUCUUGAAAAAGGCACCUCAAUGAAGAUGAAUUUUCAUUUGGGAAGUGCACUUUGGUAACAAAUUGAUUGUCUCAUGUGAUUUGUGCUUUCCUUUGUUCUUCACUUGCUCUUCAUUAACUUUCUUAGAUUUGUCUAGAUCUAGUCACGUGAAUGGUUUGAGCUGUAGGUUUUAGGUGGAAAUUCUUCUCUAGUCUAUUUACCACCUUUCUAUUCAAGUGGAUUCAACUAAGUUCUCUCCAAACUUUAGAUCUCAUACUUACUCUUUUCUAUCAUCAAAUAUUUUAGCAGCUCCAGAUACUCUAACCCUUGUUAGUGUUGGAGCAUCCGAUUGGGUACAUGAAAAUAUGGUACCUAAUUCUGCUUUGAUUUAGGAAAAAUUGAUAAAGCCUAUUCACCCACUGGGUAUCUUGUAAUCCUUUCACUUGUGUGCCAACUGAGCCACUUGUUUUCAAUGGGAAGGUAAAAAAAUAAUUUAGGCCUAACCGCCCAUCCACCCCUUUCCCCGUUGCUCUGUCCCUCCGCUUUCGAGGUGCUGCAUGUGGUGGGGAAGGCGAUGGAUCCAGCUCGAUAGUGUCAGGGCUCUGGAGCAUGACAAGGUGAGUUAAUCUGAUGUGGACAUGUGGUAUGGUGAUCUGAUAUAUUAUCUAAUAUGUAUGAACUUGUGAUGUAUGAUAUGAACUUUUGAUGCAUGAUAUAUUGAUGUGAUGUAUGAACUUGUGUUGUAUGAGCAUGAGCAUCCAUUCUGAGUCUAUGAGAUGAACUGUGAUUUGCAUAAUGACGAGACGACGAGCAGCACAGCUCAUCGGGUUCAUGAGCAACCCCAUACAGUUAUGUCCUUCUCCAGGUGCCGUGCUAGUCAGGGGGCUCCUAUCUGGCUUGUGGAAGCUAGAUUGGUAGAUAGAUUUGGCCCGUUAGGGCCAUAACAUCGGCUCGACCUUCUUCUUCCUUAAUAUCAACGCCUCCCAACCUUGCCGCCUCCAUCGCCACCUAGGUCGGCGACUACUGCCCCGUCACACCUCCCACCUACCAUCCAACACCGACCUUUGUAAUUAGGCGUCCCUCGUCGCCCCCACCAUAGAACACUACCCACUGAAUGCCCAGCCCCGGCCGGCCGGCAAUGCCAACCUCUCCUUUAAGGCUGGUGGGCAGUGGCCAUUAGAGCCCUAGAAAACCACCAAACAAUAACCCUAACUCCGCCGGUCGCUAUCCACCACCGCCAGUCUCGACCACCAUCGGUGGCUAGCGGCGACAGCACCAUUGAGCCGCUCCCACCACCCAGCUUCCACCCCUCCAGCCCAGGCUCCUUGCCAGCGCACAAGCGAGCAGCAGCGACGUGCCGAGCGAGUGAGUUAGCCCGGGGAGGAGAGCAGAGAUGAAGGAGAUCGUGGGGCCACAACGACCGCACGAAUCUAAAAACACGCCAAAUAAUAUCCGAACUUACAGAAGCCAUAUAGGAUUCUCGGUACUAGCCAGGAGCGAUGAAUGAGCCCGUGGAUAUGCAUGGUACGGCCGCACCGUGCGUGGUCUGAUUUAAACAGGCGGCCGCUCUUUUUUAUAAGUAGACAAGUAAAGUGAAAAAUUCUGCUGUUGAACAAUUGCAAAGUGUUUGGCUGUUUGCCCAAAUGGCAUUGUAAAGAUGCUUCUAAAACUUAAGCUAGCGAUUAAUGUUAAUUAGGAGCAAAUUGAUCAAAGAAAAAGACUAGGAGUGGACGGCCCACAUGGCAGACACGGCCUGAUACGCCAUUUCCUAGUCUAGCUGCUGCCCACCAAGAACCAACCCCUUCCCAACCGUGUCAGCUCAAUGACAGGCCAGCCCCACACUUGUGGACCCACCAGUCAUCUCCAUACUCACCCACCCCAGCAGCAGAUAGAGCCAUUGGAUCCACGUGCGCAUUCACGCGCGCAUCCAAAACUGAUACUCCGACCCACUAAAAGCAGCAACCAUUAAUUUUCCCCACUCCUUUUUAUUAAUUCCUUGGAUUAAAUCAAGCAGCAAAUUCUUGCCGUAGAAAUUAGAAUUCCCAGCAGAAAUAGCUGCACCAUCGCGUUCGUGUAAUUCUUCCAUUUUUCCUGAGGAUAAUUCUUUUCCUUCUCCGCAUCGAUCGGACCAAGAACACAGGUAGAAAGAAACAAGAACUGAAUUAGCGAGUGGUAAAUUGCUGGCCCCGCCUGGUGGAUUGCUCCAGUUCGAUGGCAGGAUUGGCCCUUGAAUCGUGACUCGUGAGUUCUUGCCCUCCUUUUAGGGUUUCCGAUUCCCCGCCGCGAGAUAAAGUCUCAGAAAUCGUAACACCUUUUUCUUUUUGGUCUUUGCCUCAGAAUUCCUGGCGAAUUUCUCGUGGAUUCCGCGGAGAAAGGCGUGACCUUUGUGAUGCAGUACAACCACCGCAGCCGCCUGCCUCCGCCGCCGCCGUUCGGCCGCGGCCGCGGCGGACCGGGGUACCCCCGCGGCCACAAGCAGCUGUACUACGCUCCGCCUCCUCCUCCGCCGUUUCCACCGGCGCCGCCCCCGCCGGAGCGCAAGUACGAGGUGCUUAUGGAGGCCGGUCGCCUGGCGGCCGAGUAUCUGGUAUCCCAGGGCGCUCUCCCGCCGGCCGCCCUGCAGCGCGGCGCCGGCAGCUCCGGCGCGUGGGGCGCUCAUCCUCUUCCUCUGCCACCGCCGCAGCAAUUGCAGGAACCCCACGGGUUUUACGGCCGGAGGAGGUACGAGGAUGAGUACAGCAAUAACCCUGGCGCUCGGCCGAGGCGGGCCAAUAGCACUAGUAGUAGCACUAGCAGCAGAGAUGAUUACAACAGUGGCAGCUACAAUGGGAGAGGGAAGAGGAAGUAUGGGGAGUACAGGAGGGGGUAUGAUUCAGGGAGGGACAGGGAGAAGGAGAGGGGAAGGUCGUCUUCAAAUGGCCGGCGCAACGAAGAGGAUGAGGAUGAAGAUGGGGCACCUGGAUUUCGGAGGGAGCGACGAGGCUGUCGGUGGAGUGAUGAGGUGAGGAGCAGUGUUACAGAGGCAGUGAGAGAGGAAGCACCAUUGACGGCGAAGGCUGUAGCAGGGUUAGACAUGGAGAAUACCAGGUCAAAGAUUGUGAGAUCUGUUGAUGAUGUUAGGAAGGAUGCUGAUGCUGCGCCUGAGGUGACGGAGGAGACUGAGGAGGGUGAGAUGGAGGACGACAGUGAGGCUCUGAAUUCAGAAUCAGAUGUGGUCAAUCAAGAGAGAGACACUGAUGUUAGUAAUGCCUCUGCUGGUGUUGUUAUGGAGUCGGAGCCUAAGCAGUUACCGGAUGGUAAGAUUCAAGAUGAAGUUCCUGAUGAGGAAGCUGAAGAUGAUAAACGAGUUUUGGAUGAGGCUGCUUUGGAUAACAACACUUCUGAUGGUGAGGUGACAUAUGUGGAAAAUGAUAUGCAUGAUGGUAAGAAGAAUUUGAUUGACUAUUGUAACUUCACAAGAGCCCCAACAAGGCCAAGGUCAGUGCGCGGACACAGAAAUGCAUCAUCUGUCCCAGGAGAAGCUGCAGUAGCUGAAACAGUUAAUCUACUUUCUUCUGGACAAGCUUCAGAGAUGGUAAUUGGUGAAUCUGCAAAUGAGAGCUCUUUGACUAACAUUGAGUCAGAAAAUAGAGAAGAUCAAGUCUGUCAACAAAACACUAACUCUGGUGCUCCCUGUGCCGAACCAAUAGAGCCUAUGCUUCUUCAAGAAAAUGAAACAUCCAUGUCGAUUGAAAAUAUGGCGGAAGAGAAGGUUGAUGCACAACCACAUGUGGUUCAGGAAUAUAAGGAAGAAACUAAUCUAUCUCCAGUGGCAGAUGCUCACAAGGAGAACUUGAUGCAGGAAACCAGCUUAUCUCCAUUUACAGCUUCUCACAAGGAUAGCUUGGCGCAAGAGGAUGGCUUGAUGCAAGAAACUGAUUUAUCUCCCUUGACAGCUAAUCACAGGGAUAGCUUGAUUGAAGAAACCACAUUGCCCCCACUGGCAGCUUCUCAUAAGGAGGACAGCUUGACUCAGGAAACUGAGUUGUCUCGGACAAUAUCUUCUCAUGAGAAUAACUUGAAGUUACAAUUUAAGGAAGGAACACAAAACUGUGAUAUUGAUAUGCUGCCACAAGAUGUGGACUUGAUCGAGUUGUCUGAUGAAAGGAAAGUUGUUGGUCAUGAUGUUGGGGCUGAAGCUGUAAUCAAAAUGGAAGAAGGGAAGCUGGAUCAAUCUUUCUCCCUAAAUCUAUCUGAUCUUGACCUGGUUGGUGGUACAGAGGUUGCUGCUAUACACGAUAAUCCAGCGUUGGUCCAGCUGUCUGAAGCUGGAUCUUCUGCAGAACUACAUAAUAAACAGCAAGAAGAUCCUGAAACUUUUACAGGUGAAAAUAUCAGUGCUACAGAUGAUUUAUGCAAGCUUCCAUUAGAGAAUAAGGAUGUUCAAGUAAUUGAUAUAGAAUGUGGCACACCAGUUGAAGUUGGUGGAUUUGAUUCGUCAAAGUCAAAGUGAGUUUUUUCUACUCUUUUAUUUCCAAGCCAAUGCUAAUCCAAUAGAUUUCGAACUUGUUGUAGCUACAAUGUUUGCAUGAUAUAGGGAUUCUCGGUAGCCCUGAACAUGUUCUUGAUAUCUCUCUUUGCUUCUGCUGAAAGAUACAUGUAUAAUUUGAUUCAAUCAGGAACGAGAUGGUAUGCUCUAGCAUGGACAGCAUGAUGGACCCUGGCAUACACACGGAUGUUCUUCCUGGUAUUCAAGAUGGCUACAGUCUUGCAUUUUCCGAUUUCCUUGGUGCGGAUAUAUCAUGCUACCCAUCAAUGCAAUCAGAUCUUCAUGCUGGAAUAGGUGUCAAUGACUCAGAGGUGAGGCUGCCUGCUACUUUUAUAUAUGUUUUUUCACGUGCAGGCCUUUAGCAAAGUCCCAGGAACAUUGUUUCAAAGGCAUUGCCUAGGCGUCCAGGCGGACCCUGCUCGCCUUGGGGAACCGGUCCGCCUUGUCGCCUAGGCAUCGCCUAGACUCGCCUUAUCGCCUUUAAAACAAUGCCCAGGAAAUAAUUACUGUAUUUCUUCCAUGAGUAGCAUAUCGAUGUUCAUGACUUUUCCUUCUUUCAGGGUAUUGCUGUCAUGGAUGAUCCAAUAUAUGGGUCUCUCACUGAUAUUGGUAAGUUAAAAAUAUUUUCUUCUGUUCCCUUAAUAUGCUAUACCUGAUAUCUUUCUGCUUUAGGCCUCUGUUUCCACUUGUCUAUUUUUCCUGUAGUUUCAGAUGCGUACUUAUCAAAGUUGUCAAUUUUGGCGGCGCUUAUCAUUGGAUCAUGUUUGAAAGAAUCUUGUGCUGUGAUUUAACCCUGUCAUACCAAUUACCAUUUAGGCACUUACAUGUGCAGUUGUGUUUUAGAUGGCCCUUCCUUUUCGGGGAACAAAUGUAGUUUUUGACCUGUACUGACCAAAAUAUGUUUUAGAUGGCCCUUCCUUUUCUGGUUUCCCUCAUGCCAGAAUAGCCGGGAUGACCUGUAUCGACCAUACUCUGAGGCACUAAUGGAUGCAACAGCUUUUAUUUUAUUAGGAUGGAACACUAAGUAAUCAAUAACUUCACUCACAUGUCCUUUUCCAUAUUUCUACUCACUUAAUUGGAAAAAAUAUCCUAAAAAUGACAGUAGCUGCACCUCAAAUAAUCAACUUAUAAAAUGAUAAAAGUUGCCAUGAAAGGAUCUUAGGUUUCACAGUAACUUCAAAUGCAUGAUGCAGACAUUAGUCAGCAAGUUAGUCGUAAAGUACAAAGGGUUAUAUCUCAGGAUAGACUAACACUGAACCCAAACACACUUUUUGGCCUUUACUCAUCCUGGUAUUUAUACAUUGUGGUCUGCGGAACUUGAAGAACUCAUUAAGCUUAGAAUUUCCAUGUAUGUCCAUGCACCUAGAAAUUUUGGCCAAGGGCUGAUAUCUGGGAUCACUUAAUAUAAGCAAGUUUCCAGUACUUGAGCAAAAGAUGGUACAACAUUCACAGACCUUCCCCAGUACAAAAGCCACACUCAUCACUUGUGUAACCCCCUGUUUUUGUUACUCUGGGCUUCCAUUUGCCUGAGGCACAUGGACCUUCCCCUGGUAUUUAAAAAAAGUGACCAAUUGGAUUUUAACUUGUGACCUAAAGCUUUGUGCCACUACUGGCCAAACUGCAGAAACCAUCUAUACCAAUGGGGCAGUUGGUUUAACAAGUGGGCGCACUACCACAUUCAUACAUAUAAAUCAGUUCUAACACACAUGAUUUCUUGGUUUCCUGUGCAACUUGGUACUGUAAGCUUCCAAACUAAGUGCUGACCCUGUGUGUUCCUAGCUUCUUGUUCUGUACUGGCUUUGCUCAUACAUGUAGUCAUAGAUUCGUGCAACUACAAUGGGAAAGUAAAUGUAUCUGGCAGUCUUAUUAUAUUAUGAUCCAUUGUAACAGCAUUUAGAUGGUAGUGAAAUGGCAAGUAUGCUUUCUUGAUAUUCAACACUGCUGCAAAUAGAGAUUCACAAUUGCUUCAUAUUAACAAACUGGUGGAACCUGCUUGUUCAAUGGCCUGGCAAUUUAGGUGAACUGCUGGAUGUUUGUUGGUGGGGAUAUGUAUCAUAAACUUUGAGUCUUUGACACAUUGUAUGUACUAUGCUUGAAGAGCUUUCUGGAUGAUUUAUUGUUGGAUGCUAUCUUAAGCACGUUUCAUCCUGAAGCUGAAGAUUUUCUUUGCUCCUAUGGUUUCAGGUUUCAUGGAUGUGUGGGGGCAGCCAACUCAGGACUAUGACAAGUUCUUCUAGGCUGCUGCCGAAGGCCGGAAAGUUCAGAAACUUGACAGGAAAAUUAGUUGAGGUAGCUUUAGUACAGGCGAGAAUAAGUAGAUCGCGGGUUAUCUCAAGAGAAAUGGUGUAUUCUUCCUUCCCUAACUGUAGAGAUAGAGAGGCUCUUGUGUCGAUACCGUUUCGACGGAGUUACUGAUCCAAAAGAUUGGUCAUGCGCGUUCAGGUUGAAUGGAUCAUCUGGCUGCUGCUUUUUCUUUUCUAUUUUUUGAUAGAAGAAUAUACUCCUAUACACUAGUGGUGUGCUGCAAUCAUGGAGCCUUUGUUCUUUCCUCGUACGUGGUGUGUUCUUUCCACGGUGCUACUCGCUGCGGCCCAUGUCGUUAGCCGCCUUGACGCCAACCAGUACUCCAGCAGCCCAGCAAACACCAAGCCGGUGGCGCCGUUUUGAUCGUCCACGCGGGGCGGCAGCGGCCGGUAGGAACAGGCUCCGACCACCAGCCGUUGAAAGUGAAACGACGACGGGUGAUGCGGCGUGAGGUUCCCGUUGAGUUCGUCAGACUCUGAAUUUCAGCAGUCAACAGGAGAAGCAAACCGGCGUGUAACGGUUGGACAGCGCAGACUUCAUCUCGAGCGUCCGACUCUCAUGAAACUUCGCUUGUUUGCCUGCUUCAUUUUGAGUUAGCUGCCGGCCUGCCGUUUUCAAAUGCUGAAGAGCAUGGGCUAAAUAAAAAGAAAAAUCUAAGCAGCCGAAAAAGAAAAACAUUUGCUACAACUGGAUUGCAGAUGCCCAGCGAUAGUGAGACUGACUUAUUUUUGUCACUAUUAAUUUUUUGUCGUAACUUUGACCAUUCGUCUUAAUCAAAAAAUUACACAAGUAUCAUUUAUUUUAAACCAUCAUACAAUAACUUGUGUGGUUGUAUCACUUUAGUCUAACAAAUUAUAAAACAUAAAAACGAAUGCAUGAACUUGUCAAUUAUGUGCAUGCACAGUUUGUAACUACGUCACGUAACAUAUUGUGGGACUCCAUUUCAAGUUCACCUUACUGCUCCCGCUCCAUCUGCGCCCACCCCGUGGGACAAGCUGCCGCCUUGACUUUCUUUGUUCCCUCUUUCCUCGAUGCAUCCACACUUGACUUCGACACCGUCGUGCGGUUGUUCUUUGCUAGCUCAUCUUGCUGUUUCGCGCCGUGCAAUCACUGAGGGCAGGGAUAUCGCCUCCUACUAAGCCAUGACUGACCAGUUCAAGGCUGCCAUCGAGAACUCUAUCAGGCUCGAGGCAGCGAGGUAUGCAAAUUCGGAUGUGCAUACGGGGAUCAUGCUUGUUUGGUGGAGGAGAUAAAGACUACAAAAGCGGUGGCGUUAACAGAUAAUAAAUUUUUGAAUAAGACAAACUAGCGAAGUGGCCGGCGCAAAUAGCAUUCAAAUAGUUCUCUUUUUGUUUGUUCAUUAUCAUUUUUCUUUCCUGAAUGAUCUUGACCACAGCAUCGCCAUUUUUAAUCAUUAUAUUUUGUAACGUGAAACAUGAAUCCGUGAAAAGAUACCUUGUAUAGAAAUAUAUUUUUUAUUAAAGUAAUCUAAUUUUAUCUGUCUUUGUAAUAAUGUGAAUUUCUAUCGGAGAGUUUUAAUUCGUGAAAAGAGACUACCUUUGCCGCAAGAGUUUUAAUUUGCAUAUAUCGUGCAGUGGUAGCCGUAGGCCAUGUCUCCAGGCCUUCUCAUGUUUGUUGGGGAGCGAUGUCAUCAAAGAAAUUUUUUUUGUUCAAUAUGAUUUUUUGGUAAAUAAAAAUUUUCCAUAAGCCAUCGAGAUGCUCUUCAGUUCAUAUACAAUGGCAUAGUCGAUAUUCCCUCUUGUGUUACAUUGCUAUUUUUCUUGUCGAGUUCAUCUGCAAAGCGAAGCCUCAGUUUCAACCUUUGAUAUUCUUUAUGUCUCAAGAUGAGCUUACUUGACCCAAAACCACCACCGCACUACGUAAAAAGUUGCCUACCCUUGUUGAUACUAUGGAAAUAGGUUUUACAUUUGAUUCCUCUCAUUCACUCAAACAAACCUAUGGUUGCCCUUCCCAUGUCAAUCCAUUGCAAUACCUGGGAAGUUCAUCGAUCUGUUGACUAUAGUGUUUUGCAGGGACUUUUCCACCCGAAGACCCCUGGUGUGCCUGGUGCAUCUGUUGCAUGCUUCCUGUCCCUGUCACUCUGUCUGCACCACACCGGCCUAGCUUGUGAAGGAAUAAAGAAUUUGCCCUGCUUGAAAGCACCCCAUUCGAACCCUUUAGUCUCCUCAAUGGUUGUCAAGAUAGAGGUGUCACUAUCGAAUUGUGCCUAUCUCCUAAGUCCCAACUGUGCUUCAGCCAUCGGCCAUCUCUUGCCCUGCAUAGGAACCCACAAAAUUGGUUGUCCUACUUGAGAGAAAUUUUGUUAAUUGUCCUCCAUCCAUUGACAUGCCAUUGAGAUACUACCGCACGAAGUUGUCUCCCUACCUCCAUUGCAAUGUCAUAAGUUCCUCUUCCAACGGUAGCAGCAGCAUCAGGAAGUAUCUGAUCCGUUCAAGCUUUGUUGUCCUACCAUUUGAUAAGUCAUCACGCCACACGCUAGGAGCUCUGCAAUGCUGGCCAGCAUCAGGUACCAUUGGAUGCCAUGCAUCACUACAGACAACCUGACCACUCCAAACUGAGCAACUUUGUUGGCGAUAUUCAAGCUGUUGUUGUUUAGUAGAAUGUGCUUAUGGUUGGGAACACGGAGCUGAAGAUAUUUGGGUCUGAUUUUUCGACUAAAAUCAUUUAUCCAUGUCUCCUCCACCAUUGCAUACGGCGAUCAGAGCCAUCAUUCAUGUCCACAACAGUCUUGAGCCAAACCGUACUAAAGGUUCACUCAUGCCAUACUGGAGCCAUACUUGACAAUCGAGGUGCUAGCCGGGCAGGAUCGAAGAUCCGUGGCAGGCGGAGGGGCGUCAUGGUGAUGUAAGGAAAGGAACGGCGGCUGGAUUAGGGAGGCUAAUUUGUUCUCGGCUUCUCGUAGGUCCAUUCCUCUAUCUACCAUCUGCAUCGAUGAUGCCGAGUCUCUAAUCAAUUUCAUCACGACGUUGAGUUGGUGUGUUUCUAUCUCUCUAUGCACUAUUAUAUUGGACAUACACAUGUCAUGCACUAAAAUACUACACCCUCCGUUUUUACUUGUAAGACACAUACACAUUUCAUGAUUCAAACUUUACAAUCUUUGACUAAUAACUUAACUAUCAAUUUUUAUUUUAUAAUUUAAACUUUAUAUGGUUAGAUUCAUAUAAUAAUCAUAAGGUUAUAACCAUAAAUAAUAUAAUAUAAGAUAAAUAAAUGAUCAAAGUGUAACGUGGAAGACAGUGCCAAGUUAUAUAGAUAAUAAUGUAGUAUGUUCGUAGCUGACAAGCACUACAAACCUAUAGAUAAUAACACUUAAAUAUUUGGUAUAAAAAAAGAAUAUCAAGACAUGGUUGACAUUCUUUGAAACACCCAUAGAAAGCUGAGUUGGGGGAUUCUUCAGUUAAACUUGUUAUCUGCAGUUAUGGAAUCAAUAUUGCCCGCUAAAUUACCAGAAUAGAUCAGCCCCCCAUCUUGUUGCAGUAUAGAUUGUCGUAUAAAAAAAAGAAUGCUGAUUAUUCUAAAUAUAUUUAAAGUUGAUACGGAAGAAAGAGUCGAUUAUUCUACAAAUGAAGUAACGUUUAUCCCAGAACAUCUGAAUACGCGAACAAAGAAAGUAGGCAAAAAUAUCAAUCAAGAGAUAUUACCCACAUCUUGACCAAAGCUCGGAGCUAUUGAUUUGCUUUGAGUUAUCUCCCUUGCACACAGCAAUCUAAAGAUGUAAAAUAUUUCUGUUAUCUCAAUUAUCUUAAUCAAUCUGCAUAAGGUAAGUAGUUGUGAUAAAUGCAACUAUUAAUUGAAGUCUGAACUGAGUUAUUCGUUCUUGAAUCAUUCAAUAUAACUACAUUUGAAACAAAUAAAAGAAAUCUAUGGGAAGAUUAAUUAAUAAUUGGACAGCCUACAAACAAAGCAUACGAACUGAAGUACAAAACAACAACUUACUGAUUUCAAGGGCGCUUAGUUGCUUAAAUUAAUAAGGAUGACCAUUUUUGUUGAAGAAAAUCUUCAUGCUGCAUAAGUUUGCACGAUACGGUGUCUAAAAGAUACAUAGAAACGUGGGAAAUACGAAAUUGCAAAAUUAAAAUAACUGUAGUGAAAACACUGGGCACCUGUUUUAUUUCCGAAGUAGCUUAACUCACUCGAUCAUUAGCUAUCAGGGAAUAUUCACCCAUCCAUGUGCCAGCUUCUUUGGCAGCCUCUGCAACUGUUGCACAGGGAGGCGGCCACAACACCCAAGUCGAGCCAUGGUGUGGGGUGGCACCUUUGAGCAGGGAUGAAAACGGAUCGGAUAAACGGAUAUAUGUGGAUACGAAUACAUGGAGAUAAAGUUGUCCCUCGCUAAAUCAAAUAUUUACAUUGGAACAGGAACGUUAAAUUAUUGAUAAAAUCUCAACCAGAUAACCGCCCAUCAUAAAUAGAACCACCCAAUAUAUUUUGAGUCACAACUAGCAACACCUUAAUUAAUUCACCCAUAUUCACGAAUUACUCUCGUAGUCAUCAAGAUUAGGCUCGGACCAUAUAGCCCUAAUCGGUUCUUUGAGAUCAUACAAGCUGCAGGUCCCGUUAGAGAACUCUUUAGUCUCCAUCGAGUAUGACACGCACUCUCUGUAAGUGGUGCCACUCAAGUAUUUUCGAUGAAGGCUGGCACGUACAGCUUGUUGCAAUCCAAGUUCUGAGCGAAGGACGACGAUGGCCUUGCAAUGACCUGCUUCCUGUCCCAGAACAUGGCUCCAUCCUGUAAGUCCUCUAGCUUCUCCCACGCCAUCCGCGAGCGGUCAAGCCGGAACAUUUCGAUUGGCUCCUCCACGUCCUUGUCAUGGAAGACAGCGACCACCUCGCCUUUCCACUCCACUGGGUACAUGUACAGGCCUUCCUCCCCGAGCCCUCCCUCCCUAAACACGUUGUUCUCGGUGCGGAUCGACGCUAGCCGAUCGAGGACUCUCCAUGCCAUUGUCUUGGGGUUGAACGCUCCGAGCUUCCGAUGCCUUGUCAUGCAAUAGAACUCCCCGUCGAGGAAGAAAGGGUUGUGGGUGGCUAAGAGGAAAUGGAUCUCGUCGUAGUCGAAAUCCUCAUGUUGCUCCCAGCUCCCUUGCCCAGGCCUCCAUGUCCUGAUUCUCACGGUAUCUAUGUGCUGGAUUGAGAUUCCUUCGAUGAUCAUCACCAUGAAAUCCGGAGAUCCUGGCGUGGAGCACAAGGAGAUCCCUUUGAACCAGAAGAGCUCAUUCACGGGUGGGAGCACGACCAUCGCAUCGUCACCGCGCUUGAAUGGGUUCACGAGGAAGAAGGAGUGGCCCCUAGAGACGAUGAGCCAUCCGUUCUUGGAGCAGUGCGGCACCAACGACGCCAAGCCGUCGUCUGGCACUGUGACGCUAGGGACUUGCACGCUCAAGGUGUACUUGUUCUUGGUCACGGGGUCGAAGACGUCCAGCGAACCACCGUUUCUGCUUUGAGAGGUGUUGGGCGUCACAAGCAAUGGCCACGCCAUGGUGUCCCCGAUUGCUGUCGAGAUGCCACUCCAGUCCUUGCAGACGGAUUUCAGGUGCAAGAAAUCAAUGAACGAUAGCGUGGGAACAACAUGCUCUGCCAGCAGAUCGGUAGGGAGGGUGGACCACUGCAGCAGACACUUCGAUGGUGGGUCUGGCUACACAAUGCUGUUCUCCUCCAUCACCUUCGCCGCUGGGUUGUCUUGACAGUUCGAACUUAAACCUGUAACCAUAUAUGUCUGUAUUAUUAUGACGAUUAGAGGUUUAGUGUCUACUGAAUGGAUAGCCAAAUGUUUCUAAUUUUUUGUGAGAAAAUGUUUAGAAUUUAUCUUUUCUCUAACUUGUGGAUUAACAUGUAGUCUCAAAAGGAGGAUUUAGGUUAUAUAGUAAAUGGUACCUGCAUUUGCUAGGAAGAGACCAGUAUGCUUUUGUUUCCGGUGGUGGAUUUGUCUCACUGCACUUGUCAUGGUCCUCAUCCUCCUACUCAAUCCCCACAAACCUACACAUGAUGGUCAUAUUAGCCAGCGAGAAUGUGCAAACCCUGACACCGUCAUAGCCUGAUCGCAGGAUGUGGAUGGUGUUCGAGUGGAUCCCCUCCUCUCCUGCUGGUGAGACCGCAAGGCUGUUGUCGCCUACAAAGAGCAUCGUGUCCUCAAUGUUGUCGUCUUCUCUCCACACACCCAGAAAUGGAUCCCACCGGCAGACGACAAUGUCGACGACCUCAUCUGGAGAGCCAAAGAAAUAGGGCCGGACAAAGUAGAGAUCGCCGCUCUCACUGGAUGAUGUCGUUGUUGCAACAAGAUAUGGCCUUGUUGCAAGGUUACCAGGAUAGCGCCCUGGGAUCUUAACAUCGGUCCUCUCGGCGCAGAGAGAGGCUGACGCGUUGACCACCACAUAGUAGGAGGCAUUGGUUGUGGCGUAUACCUUCCCGCCAUGGAAGGCGACAACACCGUCGAAGACAUCGACAUAGUCGUAAAACAUAACCUUGACCUGCAACCAUGUGUCAUCACCCAGACAGCAGUAGCGGAGGUAGGUCUCACCGUGAGCCCCAACACGACGACGCAGCCUGGCCCCAGCGUCGUUGGAGCCGAAGCUGAGAAGGCGCAGUUGAAGAGGAAGUCCAGCUGCGCUGGGUCCUCCGGCAUCUGAGGCAAAGGCACCACAAUUGUCAUUGUCCCUGAUCCUUUCAACGGCGGCGUGGCAAACAUGGCUGUCAAGAAGCACUCCCUCGUGGCCUCGUCGAGCGUGAGGAACCAGUUGCUCCAGGUGCACGAGAGGUAUCGUUUCCCUCGCAUGGCGUCGAUGAUGCCGUGGCUAGGGAUCUGGUGCACGUUGCCAUUGCAAGGAUCGACCAAGGUCAGGUUGCCCCCCAUGACACCGGAAAAAUGGACUGCGUAGGCCGCCGUGGACCGGAAUUCCGACGAGAAAUAGGGGUCAUCUUCCUUUUCUUGAUACUCGUGAACCAUUGUGUGUAUAUUCAUCUUAAUUAGCUAAGCGCACUAGCCAGUGAAGAUAACUUAAUCAAAUCUGACAUGAUGUUUAGUACAAAAUAAGCUAGUAGGUGUGACGAGAACGAAUCCAACACGAAGUGAUACCGAGUCUGCUUGUGUGUACUUCUCCCGACCGCUGCGUGAUCUGUAUUUUAUACGACAAUGGAGGAUGACGGUUUCGGAUAGGCUGAGCUCAAUCACCAUACCUAGUGUUGACAACCAAAAUUGGCACGUGUUGGGCAAAACUGGCUAAGCCAAUUUCUGAUAUAGGAAGCUAGUUUUGACCUAAACUGACUACUAAUUGGAGAUUCAUGCAGGAUUUGAUUUGUAAACAAUCUCCAAGCGGGGCAAUACUUUCCCACCCUAUAAUACCUCCCCACCCUAUAAAUAUAAAGGGCUACGGCCGAUUGAGGGUAUCCAAUCGAUCAAAAAUACAUCUUUUAUCCUUUUUUACCAUUUGUCUUACCCUAUGUAACACCCUAAAUUUUCAGUUUUGCAACUUAAUAAAAUUUAUUAGAAUUUUCUAGAAUUUUUUUGAGCUUGUUUAAGGAUUUAAGGAUUUUCUAUGGUUUUAUCUAAUUUGUUAGGCAUUUAAAUGUUUUUCUGAAAUUUAUCUCUUUUUCUUUACCUAUGUUAUAUUAUGAUGUUGAAACAUUCUUAUAAAAGAUACAAAAAUCAAUAUUAUAUUAAAAUAUAGGUGAAAUGUUUUCCACAGUGCAUUACACUUUGUAUCGGAUCUGUCAUUUGAUAGGAGUCUUUUAGUAAUCAGUAUAUGAGGUAUUUGGAGUAAAGCACUAUUGACAUUAGAGGUUGUUGAAAAUGAGAUGGACCUAAUACCCACUAAUGUGAGAAACUACGCUUUACAAAAUCCUUAUUUAUUGCAAUAACACAACUAUUACACAAGGCUUAAACUUUUAGCGGCUAUCCUAGCAUACACUCCUUCUCACACUCUCACCUAGCUCUAAUUCUCUACCUUGCUCUCACUCUACCCUGCCUUUUCCUAGUAUAUUGUGGCAAGGAGCCAUGGCCCUCCAUUUAUAGUGCUAGGAAGCCACAAAUAUCCAUGGUUCCACACUCUUACAUGGUUCUACAUUCUUCUAAAAGAAAAGCCUAGAAACAUUCCUAAUAGCAAUUCUAGAGUACUCAUUGUGUUAUGCAUGGUUGAGUUGUAGAAGUUUGACCUUGCUCUUUCAAGGCAAACUUCUUUCUGACCAAGCAGACCAUGCUGAGUGCCUUUCGAAUUUCUCCUUGUUCAGGGCUUUCGUGAGAAUGUCGGCAAUAUGCUCAUCAGUCUUCAUAGGCACCAUCUCGAUCCCUCCUUCAAGGACCUUUUCUCUUAUGUAGUGGUAGUGAACUUCUAUGUGCUUGGUUCUUGCAUGAAAGAGUGGAUUUUCUGCCAAACGAAUAGAACAUAGAUUAUCGCAGAGAAUCCUUACUCAGUAUUCCGUUGGCUAGUGAAGACCCUCCAUCCAUUGUGUAAGACAGGUUGUUUCUUAUGCUACCAUUACUAUUGAUCAUUACUCUGCUUCAGUACUGGAUAAUGCCACAGUGGGUUGUCUCUUACUGCAUCAUGAUAUGGCUCCAGAUCCGAGACUGGAGAAUGAAGUAUCCCAUGGUUGACGGCCGUGUGCUACAAUCUCUAGCGUAGUUAGCAUCGCAGUAUUCUAUGAGGCUAUGACCUGGCAAUCCUCUAUCUUCUUGUAUAGAAUGGCAAAAUUGAUGGUGCCCUUAACAUACCUGAGAAUAUGCCUAACUACAUCAAGGUGAGGCUUUUUCGGAUUGCUCAUGUAUUGACUAACUGGUCCAACUAGAUAGGAAAUAUUUAGCCGAGUCAAUAUGAGAUAGAUAAGACUCCCAACUAGUUGUCAAUGCAUAUAUAGUCACAUACUCAAAGUCAUUUCCUUCAUCUAGCCUUACAUUGAAAUCCAUAGAGGUAGAGAUAGGCUUGCAGUCAAGCAUCACAUAUCUUUGUAAAAGAUCCUUGGCAUAUUUCUGUUGACCUAGAAAUACCCCUUACUUUGUGCACUCCACCUCAAGUCCGAGGAAAUGCUUCAAAUUUCCAAGCACCUUCAUUUGAUAUCGUACUAAGAGAUUUUCUCUUAUCCUUUGUAUCUCCUCGGAGUGGUCUCCCGUGAUGAUCAAAUCAUCAAUGUAAACUAGGACUAUUACUGGUCUACUUUGCUUAGCCUUCACAAAUAAACUAGGAGUAUGAUGGAGCGACUUUGAAACAAGUCUGUACAAGAAACUCAUUGAUUUUUCCAUACCAUGCUCGUGGAGCUUUGCUUCAAACCAUAGAGAGUCUUCUUUAAUUUAUAUACAUACUUGGGUGGAUCUUGCUCUUAGAACCUCUCGGUUACUCCAUGUAGAUAUCCUUGUCAAGCUCACAAUGUAGAAAUGCAUUCUUGAAGUCCAUCUGCCACAACUUCCAAGACUUGCAAGGAGCAAUGCUAGCAUCAAAGAUGCCAUAAGUUGCUCAAGUAACACUCCUAAAGGGGUCUAAAGUGUAAUUUCUCUACUGUUCAGACUACCGUCACAACCUAAUUUACUCUCGUCACACACUCACACUUAUCUUUUUUUUUUCAAAAAUGGCCAUUUUGCCAUUGCCCUCUUCGUUGCCUACUUCCCCGCCGUGGACAGUGCUACCAUGCAGCAGUUUCACAUCUUUGCUCCUCGAAAUACACGGCCGAGCUCCCUCCCCACAACCUCAUUUCCUCAUGGCGUGAGCGGUGAGCCAUAGACCUCUCAGCCCUCACUGCUCCAGCUCGACGCUUGUCAUCGUGGCACGGCGUCCUUGCUUUAGGUCCUGAUCUACUUGCUUCCGGCGGCUUCUGGCGGUGGCGUGAUGGCACGGGCACCGAGUCCUAGCGGGCGGAGACGGUGGAGGGGCAAUAACGCCAAGCAGAUCACCUGGGUGAUGCUAUACCGGCCUUGACGGCCAUCCUGCUAGGGUGUGGCGCUUCCUCGAAUUCGCGCCUGGUGGCGGUGGGUCUCUCGCCGUCACCGACAAGGCCGCCAAGAGCGGGGACCGCCUCGGCCUCCCGGAGCGUGACCAUCCGUGCUUAUGGGAGGAUUGGGAUGGGAUGUCAACGACCCUCUCAAUCCCCCGUGCAUGCAGGAGUAUCUAAUGCCGCCACUACCAUGAAAAUAAAAAUCCCACUCCCGUUUAAUCACGACGAGAUCGAAAAGCUGGAAUCCUACCGUGCUCGUAACAGAAACAUUGAAACAGAGUUACAAUAAUGAAACACCAAUGCAAGUAAGAAGUUCAAUGAGAUGUGCAUGAAGACGCAGACGCAGCAACGCAAGGGUACAACAGUAAUGCAGCCGUGGGUGCCUGGUGCUUGCACUUGCGUUGCCGUGCUGCAUGUCGCUGGUGGUGAUAAAUCUCUUAGCUGGCGAUCAUAAAAAAGGUUUUUUUUUUCUUGGCGGCCGGGAGAAGAACACACAAGCAGACUCGGGAUCACUUCGUAUUGGAUUCGUUCUCAUCACAUAUACUUAUUGCAUAGUGAAGAUUGUGUUGGAUUUCAUUUAAAGAAAAAACAUCAGAUUUGGGAUGGGAGCUCAAUCCGUAUUGGCAAUAUAACCGGUUACCACGCCCUUAUGGGAUGAGAACAAUUGGAAGCAACAGGACGUGUAGGCUACGCAGAGUGAGCCAACUCAUUGUUCAAGGAUCGAAUGAAUGGGAUGAGACAUUGGUUAAAAGGUUUUUCUACCCAUGUGAUGUGGCUGAAAUUCUGAAAAUCAAAUUACCAUCGAGCAAGUGCAGUGAUUGGCUGGCGUGGAAUUUUGAGAAAAGUGGACUGUUUUUGUGAGAAGUGCUUAUAGAUUGGCUAUGAAGUGGAACUAUGAGAUGGGCGAUAUUGGCCCUAGCGCCAGUGCAGAUGGGAAUCGAGGCUUAUGGAAGAAAAUUUGGAGUGCUCAGAUCCCGUCAAAGGUAAGAGUUUUCGCUUGGAAGAUUGUCAAUAAUGGUUUGCCCACCGGAGCAAACAAGUGUCUCAGACAUUUGGACCAAGAGAGCAGCUGCGAGCUCUCUGUGGUCACCAUGCGGAGGAUUGUUUUCAUGCUGUCAUUUCCUGUCAACAUGCUCGGGCUUUACGUCAUGAACUGAGGAGCCAAUUGUUGCUGCCUGUUGAAGCCGAUCGAAUUUAUACAGCCCCAGAAUGGCUCCUUUUGUUGGACAGGCACGACACAGAAACUAUUUCAAAUUUUCUUAUGCUAAUAUGGAGAUGUUGGAGUGUCAGAAAUAGCGUGUUGCAAGCUGGUGAGCAAAUAUUGAUUGCCGGAUCUGUGCUCUUUGUGACGAGAUAUAAGCAGUAACUGUUCCAAAUCCGGCAACAGAUGAUGGCUGAGGAUUUACAAGGGAAGCAAAAGAUUUCAGGAGCAAGCCAGGCCCAACCAUCAAUGAAGCCGCUAAAGACUGAAGAGAGUUACAAAAUGGACUCCGCUAGAAGGGGAGGUCCUCAAGAUCAAUGUAAAUGUGGCUUUUAUCAACCAGACCGGUGAAGCAGCGGUGGGCGUUAUCAUCAGGGAUAGCAAAGGGCAGCCGUUGAUGACGGUUUGGCAUUGGCUGCGCCAUUGUAGAGAUGCAGAAGAAGCAGAGAUGUUAGCAUGUCUGGAAGGAGUCAGAUUAGCAGCAAGAUGGCCGAAUAGAGAUAUGAUACUAGAAGCAGACUACUCGAUAGUUAUUGACAAAAUGGGAUCUACUGGUGUUGAUAGAUCUCUGAUCACACAUGUCAUCCUCGAUAUUCGGCAGGAUAGCAGACAGCUGCAAAGUCUAUGUUUCGCCAAGAUUAGGAGAGAGAAGAAUAAAAUUGCGCAUGAGCUAGCUCAUCUAGCCAUUCGCUCGGGUCAGUGUCGUGUUUCUUUUGCUUCUGUGCCUGAGUGUGUUAACACUCUCAUGUGUGAUGAAUACCCUUCAGCAAUAAAGCUCUCUCUUUCGACCAAAAAAAAAGAUUUAGGUUAUCUUCAUCACCAGCUAGAGAGUUGAGCUAAAGACGAACAUUCACACACAAUGGUUCACGAGGAUCAUGAAGAGAAGGAAGAUAUGCUUCGUCCUGUUUCCCGUCGGAAUUCCGGUCCACGUCGGCCUACGCGAUCCAGUUCCCCAGCGUCGAGGACGCAACCCGACCUUUGUCGAUCCCUGCAAUGGCAGCGUGUACGAGUCCCCAUCGCGUGCACCGGGGGCAACUGUUCCUCGUGCUCGACGAGGUCAUGAACGAGUGCUUCUUGACGACCCUGUUCGCCGCGCCGCCGUCGGAAGAACCAGAGGCGACGACCGUGGCGCCUCUGCCUCCGAUGCCGAAGGACCCGCCGCACCUUGAGUUCUUCUCUUCAACUGCACGCUCUCCGCUCCGGCCCCGAUGGCGCCGGGCUGCAAUAUCGUGUUGGGAUUCAUCGGAGAGACGUACCUCCGCUACUGUCGCCUGGGUGACGAGACGUGGUCGCGGGUCGAGGUGACGUUCGAGAACAGCUUCGACGUCUUCAAUGGCGCUGUGGCUUGCCAUGGAGGGAAAGUAUACGCGCGCCACCACCAACGGCUCCUACUCCGUGGUGGCCCACGCGACCGCCCCGGCGCCGGCAGCUCCUCGCGUCGAGAGGACUGACAUUAGGAUCCCAGGGCCGUUCCCUAGUCAUCAUCCAGCGCGACCGUAUCUGGUCGCGCCCAUCGACGGCGGCGGGUCCGGCGACCUCUACUUUGUCCGGCCGUAUAUUUUUGGCUUCCCGGAAGAGGUGGUCGGCGUUGACGUGUGCCGGUGGGAUCCAUCGCGAGAUGCAUGGAGGCAAGUCGAUGGCAUCGGGGACAUGACGCUCUUCGUAGGCAGCAACUGUCUCGCGGUGUCAUCGUCGCCGGCAACAGAGGCGGGGACCGAACCCAACACCAUCCAUAUCCUGUGGUCUCGCAACGAUGGUGUCAGGGUUUUCACCUUCUCGUUGGAUGGUCAUGGUUUUCACCUUCUCGUUGGAUGACAUGACCAUCCGGUGUAGCUUUGUGGGGAUCGGAGGACGAUGAGGAUCAUUGUGACAACACGCCACCGGAAACCCAAGCAUACUGUUCUGUUCCUAGCAACAACGGCAGGUGCUGUGUACUGUUAGAGUAAAAUUGACGGGCGGUACAUGAACUUGCUUGUGGCAGGUGCCAUCCAAGUCCUCAAACUUCAAAAAUAUACAUUGGAGUUCCUGAAUUUACUAAUUCGUGCGACGUCCAAAUCUCCAUAAUCCACGUGAAACUGCAUGCGUGGCACAUUGACUGCAUGUUGACGUCGGGCCACAUGUCAUAUCCAACUAUCUUCUCUCCUUCUCUCUCUUUCUCUUUGCCUCCACGCUCGCCCAGACCUUCGCGCCGCCCAAGCUGAAGGAGUUCCACUCCGUCGUGCUCGCGGCCCAGCUCGCCCCUCCCCGUCGCGCCCGUGCGCGUGCUCACGGCACGUCGCGUGCGUGGGCACGUGCGCCACAUGGGAACCUGUUCGCCACGCCGCCGUUCUCGCGUUUCUCCACCGGAUUUUGUCCCAUCCUCGCCACGGACCAGCGCGGGUAGACGGCGCCUGCGGCCGUGCACAGGCGGCCGGUGGCCAGAAUUGCAGUGCGGCGCGGGUGGAUGGCUAUGGUGGCCAUUGUCAAUUUGGAGCGAGACGAGGGCGGCGGCACAAUGGGCCCCGAACCGCGGGGCGGAGCGGUGCUUGAGCUCCAGGGCUGCGCGCGUCUUGGCGCGGGCGGCGAUGGCUCGCAGGCGCCCCUGUCUGCUCGGCACCUCCGCCCCGUCGCCGCUAGGCACGACGGCGCUCCCCCGACCUGGCGACGGAGUUGCGGCGGUGGUGGAGGGGCGGCGCAUGAAGCACGCAGGCCAAGGAUGGCCGCCGGAGAUGUGCUGCCCCGCGGGUCCCCGCCAGAGCAGCUCGAGGCUCGCCGGGGGUAGAGAAGGAGGAGGAAGAAAGGGAAGGCAGAGAGGAGACGGGAGUAGAUGCUGCAUGUGACAUGUGGGAUCCACAUGUCAGUCAACGCCAACACACAGUCAUGCCACGUAUGCGGUUUAACUGGGUACCGGACUACCGGUGAUUUGGACAAUUGGACUUCGCGUGAGCCGAUUAGCAAGUUUAGGGAUGCAGAUGUGUAUUUUGGAAGUUCGAUGACCUAGAUGACACCUGAUGACCGGCCAUAUAUUUUUACUCGUACCACACUGAUACUAUUGAGCAUUGAUUAGCAAUUCAGCACCGCACUUAGGUGUUGACAAGGCAUGCUUAUUGCUUAAGCUUAACUACGGACGAUUUACAGGUUUAAGUUUGAGUUGUCAAGGCAGCAAGGCGGCAGCAAGGGUGAUGGACAGGAGAAGAGCAUUUCACGGUCGCCUGACCCAACAUCAGAUUGUCCGCCGCAGUGGUCCAGCCUCCCUACCGACCUGUUGGCGGAGCAUGCUGUUCCCAAGCUAUCGUUCAUCGAUUUCUUGCACCUCAAGUCCGUCUGCAAGGACUGGAGUGCAAUCUCGACGCCAAUCCGGGACACCAAGGCAUGGCCAUUGCUCAUAACCCCCGCUCCACCAAGAAGCAGAAAUGGUGGCUCCCUCCACGUCUUCGACCCGGUGACCAAGAACAAGUACGCAUUGAGCGUGCGUGUCCCUAGAGUCACGGCGCCAGACGACUCAGCGUCGUUGAUGCUGCACUGCUCCAAGAACGGAUGGCUCCUCGUCCCACCUGUCAUUGGCUAAAAAAUCCUUUUUCUUCCUUCUCUCUUUCUCUCUUCUCUCUCCCGCCUCUCCGUUCCCCUCCAGCGCCGGCGGCACAGAGCUGGUACGGGGCAGGGGCGGUGUAGGGCCGGUACGGGGGAGCGGCGGCGCAGGUUCAGGACGAGGCGUGGCGGUGCAAGGCCGCGACGAGGGUGGCGGCCUCCUGCGGCGCCGCCGCUCAUGCCUGGACGAAGGCAACGGCGGCGCGGGGCCGGAACGAGACCGGCGGCGCUGGGGUCGAGGCACGGGCCUACCGGUGUGGAUGGGGAUGGCCACGGCCACGCAGAGGUCGGGGCACGGGCGAAUGGCGCGAGUGGACGGCGGCACGGCAAGCCAGGCUGUGGCAGGCAGAGGCGGCGGCACGAGGAGCCAAGCACCGGCGGCGCUUGCGGAUGCCGCGGCGGGCGGUGGAGCGGGCGGCCCGCGGACGGCAAGGGCGCGGGCGAACGGCGAGGUGGCCGGCGGUGGUGCUGUUGGACGGCGAGGUGGCCAGCGAGAGGAUCGAGCGGCCAGCGUUCCUCGCGAGCGUGUAGAUCGUGUGGUUGGAAAGGAAAAGGGUGAAAGGGAUGCAAAGAGGAGAGGGAGGGGAUUGAGAAAAAAUAAAAAGGAAAGGGGAAUAGAAAGGGAUCUGUUACUAAUAGCUCAAUUGGUGCCUAGAAAUUCAUCAGGGAAUGAUGUACAAUUGGCUCUGGGCCUGUUCGCUUCAGCUUAUAAGCCGGCUGAAAAGCUGAAACGGCUUAUUUGUUGUGAGAGGAAAAUACUGUUUGGUGGCUGAUAAGCCGUCUGAAUAAGCUGAAGCGAACAGGCUGUCUAUUUUUUUUAAGCACUUGAGUGUAAUAAGGAUAAAGGGGAAAGGUAAAUUCAAUCUGCUAGAGAUGCUCUAACAAUGCAAUAUAGUACUUGAAAUUCCAUCUCUUGUAUUGCCGUCAAAAUCUUUUUAAUUUUUAAUUUUUUUAUUUUGAUAGGUGCAAUCCCUGUAUAUCUAAGCUCAGCUAAAUAAUAAUUAGCAUCUGAGGGAUGAAACCCCUGACGUAGACGUGGAUUGGGUGGGUGGGGGGGGACCCACCAAAUCCCUCCUUGGAUUGGCUCUCCCGUGGAUUCAACCCACGAAUUGCCACACAAAGCCUAAAGGGGUAAGGGGAAGUUUAAUCUGCUAGAGAUGCUCUAACAAUGCAAUAUAAUACUUGAAAUUCCAUCUCUUGUAUUGCCAUCAAAAUCUUGAUUGAGAUAAAUGUAAUUCAAGAUUUGACUUAUUUUAAACACAUUUAAACAAAUCUUCUAGAAUUCAUUUGAUUCUCCUUGUAGUUUUUCCCACCACCACUUACUUGGGUUUAAACCACCUAGACAUUGUUGUUAUCCUAAGCUGCCAUUAGUUGCAGACGGCAACGGCCCAUAAUAUCGCUAUGCAGAACGAACAGCUCCUCAUGUUAAAGUGAAGGCCUGAAGGGCACGUGCGUCUCCCUUAAUCAGCCCUAGAAUGUGUUUGGAUAUCCUUGUAUUUCAGGACUAAUGACUGAUCACAAGUCACGGCAUGUAGUAUCUACCAAAUUUUAAGAAAGUAAUAAACGGCGUCGACUAGUCAAGCAAAGCACGUACGCAGAAAGCCAGAAAAACAAAUUGCAAACGGACACAUCCAUUUUAUCUGGGGUUGAUCGCGGAGACGUUUGAUGCCCACGCUGCUUCUCCAGCUCUCCAAUCACUCUCUCCGUAUCUUUUUAUCCUCCCAGUAGCAGAUGUCCUCAACAAUUUUUGAACGCUGCUUCUAUAAGAGGAGAUUUAGAGCACCCUAUAAGUUUGAUUAAAAAAAAACACCUUCCUUCCUAUUUGUGUUGAGUGUUGACGACUGAUGACCACUCUAGCUGCAAGCCUGCAACCUUCCGGCCACCCUACCAUGGCUACUUCUGAACUGAACCUAGCUGACUUUCAGCAGCCGAAAGCUGAUUGCUAGCCCAAACAGCCCAAACAAAUACCUGCGCUUGAUGCUGAGUUGUUGGGCGACCAAACUAAAUCCAUUUGCCUCAAUGGGUUGCAGAGUAGCAUCACGCGGGUACGACAUACGCAGCCAAGAUCGAAAAGCAAGAAGAUGAGCUGCAUUGCAAGAUCCUUCCUAGCAGCGAGCAAAUUGAUGCACGGAGGGAGCAAUCGGGAUGAACAAAGCCGUGAACCAACAAAUAAGAAACGGGUACCUACUGCACUUUUGAGCAAACCAUAUGGCAAACAGAAACUUCAUCCACACGAAAGCAACUCCAAUGGAUUUGGUUUGGAUAGCAGUGAAACAGGGGGAGCUCGCCGCCGCGGCCGCAGACAGGCAACAGAAUUCCAACAGCCUUCUUCCUGCUUAGAAGUGGUGAACAAAGCCGAAUCCGUCCACAUUGGCACUAUUGCUUUCCCUUUCCUCAAAUCUUUGAGCAAAUUAUCCCCAAAUCUCACUCUAGUUUAUCCCAUGAAAUGCGCGGAGGAACCAUCUGCACUUCUGCAGUGAUGCAGUGUCAACGGCUGACGGGGAUGGCUCCAAAGAGGAGCAGGGGCGGUGCGGCUGUCUCCUCCCAAAGGCUUGAGAAGACCAACUGGCCGCGCAGGGAGAGUGUUCUGGCCUCCACAACAGUUAGGUUCCACAUUUGCCGGCGGCCAAUCCUGGUAGGCAAACUGAGAGGAGCAGCCACCUAGCUGUCAUGCCACAUCACCAUGAGGAGCUUAGGUGGAGAGGUAUGGAGACAAAUGAACCAAUAAAAAAAAUGAGGACCCAAAACUGCAGUUUAUAAGUUGAUGGCUAUAUUACCCCGCGUUACAAGUUAAGUGGUGCUAAGUGCUCAAACCUUCAGAUACUUUUCUUGCAUUAUGCAGUCACAAUAUAGGACCCAGUGCGGCUUCUUAGCAUAGUUCUUUCAGUUCCUGGGCUCCAACCUCAUGUCACUUGAGUAUACUAGUAAACAUUAACCAGGAUUGCACAAGAUAUUCUUAUUUCUCUCUCAUAUUAACAUCUCAACUAUGUUCAUUUUUAUUUUUGCAAUGCCAUGGGAGCCUGCCUCUCUCGCUAAGCUUGUGUAUCUUGAUGUGUUUCUUGCCUAGACACCAAGAGAUUGUACAUGGUAUGACACCUCUCUAUUUUGAAACAAAUACUAUCUCAGGGAAAUGUGUAAUGGAUUUCUAGUCACCAAGUUCAGUAUGAAACUAGGCUAGCCUAAUUGCCUGAAUUGCCCAGAUGGGUAGGAUUUUUUUUUAAGCUGGGAAAGAGUGUAAAUCAUGUCAGGGCGUGCUUGGUUUUUCUUGAUAGCUAUUGUGUUGCCUUGCCAGGAGAGUGAGCAAGGCAAGACUUUUGGAACUGAAGCAAAAUUCUCUCGGGGCUUGUGCGAGCAAGGUUUAGCUUGCCAGCGUGAGAUAGCCAAAUUCGCUCGCCUGGGCUGGCAAGCGCAUCGUGGCUCGUGCCAGCAAGAAGAGGCGAGGCGAGCCCCAAGCAGAAACCAAGCAGCCCUCAGUUGUGACAAUUGAGGUUGACACUAGUAAAGAAAAACUGGGAUUCUGCAUAGGUGUAAUCACAGCAACAUGUUUGUCUUUUACAAUGUACUCAUUUCUUUUCAACCAUGUAUGUAUAACCAAUCAGGCAAUCACCUCACAACUUCAAUUGCUACCAAAGAAAUCGAUUGAACAUGGACAGUCAAAUUUCAGUAUGCACCACAGAACAGCCAUACAUG